rnacentral:lncRNA from 1 species
CAUGUCGGUCAGAGCACACUGCUCGUAUUUUUUCCUCAUUUUGAUCAUAAACAGGCAAGACCCCGCUGAAACAACCAGCAUUAGACUUGCUAAAGGGGCAGUGAUAAAUGUGAACAACCUAUAGAUUUUGUAGUGUGCCCACUUCACGGGUGAAUUGGUCGACGGGAUGGGUGAAUUGGUCGACGGGGGGCGUACAGCAUCCAAGUCCGAAGUAAACCCCCAUGAAUUGAUGAUGUGUCUCUCCCCAACGCCGCCACAAGAAGCUGAAAUGCCAAUUGCGACCGAUUCAGGAGAGCAAGGUCGAUUGGGUAAGAAAGCGAGGGGCUUUUCUUGUCCAAAGAAAUCGGGUCUCCAGCAAACGACCAGAACACACUAAGAUUCUUGCCAGUAGAAUUAUAGGUCACCACGACAUUAGUUGCAUUUCCGCUGUGUGAUUUGAUAUCCCACUGGGAAUGAACAAUUGAAGAGAUCGAGUUUAUGUUGAUUCCUAUGUGCUGCUCUGGCGGGUCAUAUUCUGGGUUCGCAGAAGUAUCGAACUCAACCGUCACAAUUCGGUUCCGAGGCCCAUCAUUGACUGUGCUGGCAUUGAACAAUCCGAGAAGAUGACCAGCCGAGUUGGGUGGGAUUGAAAAGCCAGUAGGAGCAAGAAAAAGGGCCAGGCCGUCACUGUAUUGGUUGGGAUUGAAAGGUUCGAUGGUGAAAGAAAAAUGAGUAGAGAAGUCUGCUUGUCUCCCAGUAAUAGGAUCUCUAAUAUAGAUGGGUUUGGAAUACUGAAUGCGGCCUACCGUAAAACGCUGUUCUCCGGGGGCUUGUGGGGUGAGAUCAAUGAAGCCAUACGCCAUUGCCGCAACUCCUUCGUAGAGUAUGUCAUCUGCGUUGUCGUCAAAGUUACUUAUAUUGAACUGGACGGGACUGACAUAGGGGAUAAUAGGGUAGCAGACAAGGGAGAAGACAAUUAAGUGAGCGUAAAAAGAAAGAGAACAACAGUUCGCAUGCUGCAUGCUACACAUGGUUUUUACAAGUGCAAGGACGAGGUUCAUGCUCGUUUGUCCAUUGGUCUAGAUCGGUGCUAUAGCGGGUGCUUUAUAGUGGACCAAAUGUUCCAAACAGCGGCUUGGACAUGGUGAAAAGAUCGACAAAUUCUCUGCUGUUUCCGCUAAAGACUAUAUGGACAAGGGAGACUUCUGAAGCAAUGACCCAAUUUUUGGAAGUCGCUACUCAUAUUGAAUUGAACGGAACUGACAAAGGGGAUAAUAGGGUAGCAAACAAGGAAGAAGACCGUUAAGCGAGCAUGAAAAGAAAGAUAACAACAGUUCGCAAGCUGCAUGCCAGAUCGGUGCUAUAAAGGUGUGCUUUAUAGACCAAAUGUUCCAAACAGCGGCUUGGACACGGUGAACAAAUCGACAAUUUCUCUGCUAUUUCCGCUAAAGACUAUAUGGACAAGGGAGACUUUUAAAGCAAUGACCCAACUUCUGGAAGUCGCAAGCUGCAUGCCAGAUCGGUGCUAUAAAGGUGUUUAUAGACCAAAUGUUUCAAACAGCGGAUUGGACACGGUAAACAUAUCGACAAUUUCUCUGCUAUUUCCACUAAAGACUUAUGUAGCACUUACACGCGAUACGCAACACAUGACGCGACACGUCAUUUUUCAAAAUGUAUAAAAUUUCAACACGUUCCGACACGUUAAAUAUUAAAUAAAUAUUUUUAUAUAUACAUAUAAUUAUUUCAAAAAUAAAGAGUAUAAUCAAUUUAUUUAAAUAAAUUUAUAAUUUUUCAUGGUGAUCAUAAUUUAUUAUUAUUCAACAUUAUUCAUUUUUUUCUUUUUUGAAAUCACCCUCCACCCUCUCCCUCCAAAAAAAGAAAAAAAAAGGACAAAUCCCGCCCAGGAUGAGCAUCCCAUUUUAAUUUUUUUUUUGGCUCUUCAUGGCACCAUCAUUUUUUUUUCCAGCUCUUUCUUAAAAUCCCAAAUACUAGCUACGUACUAUUCCCCCUAGACGCGUCCUCCUUGCACAGUAUCUCAUUUUUAAAUUUUUUUCUACCCUCUUUGGAAACCCAAACCUAGCUGCCUCAUCCUCCUUUGACUCCUCUUUAUGGCACCCCCUCCUUGGAAAACUAAAUCGUAGCCUCUCCCUCCUUCUGUGCUCAUCCUCCUUGUAUGGCACCCAUUCUUUAUCUUUUAGAAACCCUUCAAAAGCAGCCUUGAAAACUCUCGGAAAACGCCGCUCCCUCCUCCGUUGCACAAUCCUCUUCCUCUUAAUCCCUACUCUCUCUUGGUCACCUCGUUGCAGGUUGCAGCUGCUCGCUGCCUUGCCUCUGGUCCUCUCUCUUUUGUAGUCGUAGCCUUGUCUCCGGUCCUCUGUCGCGGCCAUCUCCGUCACAUGGUUCUCUCUUCCUCCAGCCUUCUAUCACCGUCGCGGCCUCACUGCUGCUGCCUCGCCUCCGCAGCCUUGCUUCCUCUUCCUUGCCUCGUCUUUACCCUCCAUCGCCAACGAUUCACUCUCCCUUCACGCUUGCAGAUCCGCUCUAGAAACCUAGCCUCUUGCUCGGACACGCUCCGAUUCACGUGUCGAGAAGAGUUGACCACGUGUCGGAAAAUCCAACACGUGUUGACCGCGUGUCCGAGCGUGUCGGUGUCCGACACGACACAGAAGGUUCCCGAGCAUGUCCGUGCUUCAUAGCUAAAGACUAUAUGGACAAGGGAGACUUUUAAAGCAAUGACCCAACUUCUGGAAGUCGCUACUUAUAGUGAACUGAACGGGACAGGCAAAGGAUAUAAUAGGGUAGCAAACAAGGAAGAAGACCAUUAAGCGAGCGCGAAAAGAAAGAGAACAAUAGUUCGCAUGCUGCAUGCUCCGCAUAAUUUAUACAAGUGCAAGGACGAGGAUCGUGCUCGUUUGUCCAUUGGUCUAGAUCGGUGCUAUAAAGGUGUGCUUUAUAGUGGACCAAAUGUUCCAAACAGCAUUUUGGACACGGUGAAUAGAUCGACAAUUUCUCCACUGUUUCUGCUAAAUACUAUAUGGACAAGUGAGAUUUUUGAAGCAAUGACCCAAUUUCUGGAAGUCUAUGCUCAAGAUAUUUAGAGAAAAAAAACAAUACUUGGAUGGAUAGUCCAGAGAAUUGUAAAAAAUAUCAAAGAUAUAUCUAGAAGAGUUUCCAAUAAAAUCUAAGAUAUUUUAGAAAAGUCAUGUGAAAUGUGGAAGUUCAUGCAAGUUGCCGUAGAUUUUUUUAAUCUUGAAAAGGCCGUGGAAGAGGGCUAUAAACACCCAACCCCUCCUCACUUGAAGGUCACGUCCAGCAGGAGAAAACUAAGCCUUUGCACAUGCCUUCAUGAUAUAAAACUCCUCUUGUCCUCUUUUGCUCCCUACUUUCCCUUCCACUAUCUUCCAUCUCCAAUAUAAUAAUAAAAGUCCUUGUUCCGUAGUUGCUUGUUAAGUCUACGCACUUAUUUGAUGGCUACAGUUUUUCAAAAAUGAAAUUGAAUACCUUGUAUGAUCAUUAUUUAAUCUGCCAAACAUCAAUAAUGAUCUUUGAUUUCAUGAACAAAACUUUUCACUUAUGUUAACUUUCCCAUUUAAUCGUUGUUGAUAGAUGAGAAUGCUGGGAGUGUAUAGCAGAAGCCUAAUAUGUUCUUUCAGGAAAAUUACCAAGAGAAAGCCUAAAUCCAAGCAUGUCAAUAUAUCCAGUUGGACCUACUUUUACGCAAAAGCUAAGCUAAUGAAUUAUAAGCCAACUAGGAUAUAUUAACUGUUCCACACCAUAUCAAUUCUUCGAUAUGGAACUUUUCUAACACAAUGCACUCACAUGUGCAUUCCAAUAAUCUCCCCCUCACAUGUGUGAGCUCGGUGUUAGCCCGCUCCCCUUUAAUUUAGGUGUCUUUUUGCAUCACUUAUGGACAUGUGUUAUAACACCACAAUGCCAACCUGCCCAAAAAUCACAACCAUCGAAUCUGAUAUCAUUUGUUGGAAGCGCGUAGCAGAAGCCUGAUACCUUAUUUUGGGGAGAUCGCCAAGAGGGAGACCAAAUUCAAGCCUAUCAAUAUAUCGGUUGAACCCACUUUCACUCAAAAAUUUAAAUUAAUGAGUCAUGUGCCAAUUAAGAAAUAUUAACAUGAUGCGCAAAAGGUAUCUGACGCCAGAGGUCAUUUGUAUCUCGAGAGUUUAUCUGAUGGAAACAAAUCUGUCAAUCUUCUAAAGGAUUUCAUUGUGGGUACUUACGAUGACAAUAUUAUAAUAUCGCAUAUUGCUACUGAAAUCCGGUAUAACAAAGAGAAAUCCAUGGAAAAAAAAAAGAUGAAAGGGAAUUUAGCAAGAUCAUCUUUGACUAUAUAUUGUAUCUGGUACUUAAUCAAUCUAAUGUGAUGUCCGUUGUGGUAGGCAUUGCCCAAAUCACAAUAGGGGUGACGUUGGGGGAGUUACUAGAAUUACUCCACAUGAAUGAUGCAACCCGGGAUGUGGAGAAGCUAUGCAAGCAAUUGUUUGAGAAAUCUGAAGAAUCAUUGAAAGAUGUAUACCAUUCGAAAUCCAUGCUCAGUCAGGGGACCGAUUUAGCUAAAAAGAUGAAAGAGCUCGGGGAAAUGAAGUGGAAGGUGAUGAGCGGAGUAUGGGUUGAGAUGCUGUCAUAUGCAGCGGUUCAUAUUAAGGGAGAAGUACAUGCGCAGGUGCUUAACAAAGGUGGAGAGCUUCUUGCUUUCAUUUGGCUGUUGAUGGCUCAUUCCGGUCGUGUCUACAAUCCUCAUUUGGGCAACUUUUAUGCCCGCUCUGAUUAGAGUGAGUAAUAGAUUCGCGUCAACUAUCUGAUUGACCAUCCUCAUGGCUUGCCUACUGGCGUUCGGACAAAUACCAGUUAAUAGACUGUGAAUCAUUCGACUAAUGCCAAAAAUGGAUGGAUUUUCAUUAGAGGGCUGUGCAGCACUGUCCAGACCGUGGACAGCGAGCGUUCAGUCUUGUUUGGUUCAUUCGACGAGCACCGGGCCAACCCUCAGGGGUUCCCGUGGCGAUGUGGUUUUUCAAUAAUAUUAAGCCAAUUUCAAGUCCUAAUGACACACGACACGCCUGCUACCAGACUUCAUGCAUGCUUAAUAGGGGACGUUUGGUGGGCCUUUGUAUGGGUAUUGCAUCUUUGAGGUGUCUCGGGUUGGCUUUGCAAAGAUGCAUCGAAGCCUUUUAGUAGUCAUUUCGGUGUCGUUUAGCACAUGGAGUGGCAUCCACCGCACGCUGUCCAGACUUAAGACAUGCUGCGUAGGGGAUGCGUCGUGGCCAAUUGGCUUUGUUUUGUAUCCUCGACGAGUCUCGGGUUAGCCUUCAUUAGUCCUUGUAGGUACUUUCCCGUUGCUUAAUAAGAAGGCGAUGUUUAAUGUUGCCCGAUGCGUCUCGGGUUGUGGUGCACUUGCUUUGAUAUUAUCAUAUCUUGCUUGGAUGUUGUCUUGCUUAAAUCUUGUUGUAUGAGCAUCUUUGCAUGAUCAUUUAGACAUACAUGUCUCAGGAAAAACAAAAAAAUAUGUGUGAAAGAAUGCAUAAAACUAAAUCCCCAAAUGAGCUAAGCUAACAAACUGUUCAUUAGGUAAUAUAUUUAGUAUAGUCAAAUCUCCGUGUCCUGAAUUUUUUACUCACAAAAAUAAAACAAAAAUUAAUCCCACAUGUCGGAAACUCACAUGUCGAAAUUCCAAUUCGAGUGUUGGAGAAUUCGAGAAAGUUAAUUAGAUGUCGGAUUUUUCGACACAUGCUAACCAAGUGUCGGAGAGUUUCCAAAAGUAUCGAAAAGUAUCGGAUAUGUGUUAAAAUGUCCGACAUGAUACGAAUAAGCGGCGGUGCUUCCUAAAUUAUGGUGUUGCGAUAUUUGGGAUGCUAUAGGUGGGAGGUGAAGAAGGGGUUGGUCGAGCUUUUUCUUUUUUACGAGUUUUUCCCCUAGUAAAUUUUAAGUUAGUAAUUGUGUUUCAACUCCAUAAUUUGAAUUAAGAUAUUCAUUUUUCGAAUUUCUUCGUGAAAUUCGUAAGUACAAGGAUGCUACUAUUCAACCACAAGAGAUUUAUACUUAUUGGUGAUGUCCUUCAUGACAAAUUCUAUAGCUAGUUUUUUCUUCUUCUUUUUUCAGAAAAGGAAUUUCCUUCUUUUUUUUUUUUUUUGCCUCGACCAUAGUUGAGAUCCGAUGAAGAUUAUUAUUAUAAAAAAUUACUUAUUAUUAUUAUUAUUAUUAUUAUUAUUAUUAUUAUUAUUAUUAUUAUUAUUAUUAUUAUUAGGACAUGCAGUCCAUCUCUCUAAUAUAAUGUCCUAUUCAUGGCGCAAGCACCACGUUUUGUGUAAGAAAAAAAAAUUCCAAUAUAUUUGUUUUUACUAUAAUUCAUAUAAUUUAUCAAAAAAAUUUCUGUUAAAACAAUAAUUUCUGCUAUAAUUCAUGUAGUCCAACGUCCCUCCAAUACCUUUCCAUCCCCAUGAUGGCGUCCCUCCACCGAACGCUCUCCAACCGUCUCCUCUCCAAGUUCCCUCCUUUCCAUCCAUCAUGGCCUCGCGCCGCCCGGUUCUCCGCCGCGGCGGACGGCGGCGCCCCCGCUCCGCCAUCCUCUGCCGCCGCUCCCCCGCCGUACGAGAGCUCUCCGCCCAUCGAUGCCGGAUCGUCGAUCCGAAAGCCGAUCAGCCUGUGGCCCGGCAUGUACUUCUCCCCUGUCACCAACGCCCUGUGGGAAGCGAGAUCGAAGAUGUUCGAGGAGGUCGGCGGCGCCGGGGCGAGCGGGAAGGCGGCGCCGCCGCUGCCGAGCGAAUUGGUCCCGAGGAGCCCGGCCAGGAGCAGGACGAGCAUUUUCUACAAGUUCUCGAGCGAUUAAGUGCUCAGGGAGCAGUACAGGAAUCCUUGGAACGAAAUCAGGAUGGGGAAGCUGGUGGAAGAUCUCGAUGCUCUCGCCGGGACCAUUUGCUACAAGGUAAAUGAACGAGCUUUGAACGACUAUCGGAUGGUGAUGCCUUGAUUCCUCUUUCUGAAUGCUGUGCCAUUUAUGCUCUGCGAUGUUUUUCAUGCUAAAGCUUUCUCGAUGCAUAUUCUAUGGUCUUUUUCUGCGGAAAAUGAAUUGCAUAUGACGUCAAUGACGGUGCUUUGUUGUAUUCCUGAUAUAAGACUGACUUACGGCGGUGCUUAGUUGGCGGGCGAUCAGUUCUCGUAUUCUGCGAUUAGUAGUUUGAAUGUCAAGCCCUUGUUUGAAUAAUCUAGAAUCGGUCAUCUGGUAUAAGAGAGAAGUUCAUUUCUUAGACGAAAAGAUUGAACAACACGCUACUUAUUUGUUGUAAGCAGUACCUUGUCUCUAUCAUUUGUAUAAGAGCAUGUCUAAUUUCUCAUCAAUCUUUGUCCAUAUCAGGUUCUGCGAUCAGAGGCUUAAUGUUUAAGUUCUCAAAUGAUCGGUUGUAGCUUAUAUAGUGUGGAAUUCAUCAAUAAAAUUGUGUGUGACAGGACAUCCGCCUGUUGUAUUUAGCCUUUUUCUUUUGGACCGGCAUUCCUCCAAGUAACUGCUUCUGUAGACAGGAUGGUUCUCAAAAGGCCAAUCCGUAUUGAAAUGGACUUGCAAAUAGCGGGAGCUGUUACAUGGGUCGGGCGUUGAUCAAUGGAGAUCCAACUGGAAGUAAGUCCACAGAAGGUGUUAUAUGAAACAGUGCUUCCAAAUGACGAUAGUAUGCUACUUUCUUUCCUAGAGUUGAUGACAUUGCUUUGUUGGCUUAUUGGACGAGAACAUACAUUUCCAUCUGCUGCCACUAAGCAGUUGCAGGAGUCGCGUUACUCCUGGUCCCAAAGGAUGGUGUCACACUGAUGGCCGUGCCUUAAGUAUAUGUUUAUUCUACACAAAGCAUACUUGCUCUUGCAUGAUUUCGUUUCUCCUUGUAAAAAUUGUGGAGAAAUUUGCUAAUUUGCUACCAAUCCACCAUUCCGUUAUUACCAAAAGUAAAUAAAUAAAAUAGUAAACCCGUCCAUACUAUGGAGAAGCUUGCUAAUCAACAUCCUCUUGCCAAGAAGUGUUGGUUUGUCAAGGUUUUGACAUGUUAGUCAAUCACAAUAUUUAGAUAUCAGAUCUUCAUAAAGUUAUUCUUUCCACGAUAUAACCUUAUGAUUGAUCCAUUCUGCUGUUUACUUUAAACUGGUAAUUUCAUGCAGAAACCCAGGAUUCCUCAGAUUCAGUUGCACUUGCUGCCAAUUUCACGUUUCUGGCUCUCGUGAUUCUAGAACUGGGAAAUCAGCACCAGUUAACCCUAUCUCACCGGAGACAGAGAGAGAAAAAUUACUCUGGCAAGAGGCAGAAAAUAGGAUUAUAAUGAGGAAAAAGAAGAGAGAAGAACGUAACAGAGAUACUUAGGUAGGGGACUCGUCCAGGCUCCAGGCUUUACUUGCCGAAGGUCGUAUCUUCUGUGAUAUGCCAGCUUUGGCAGACAGAGAUAGCAUUCUGAUGAGAGAUACUAGUUUUGAGAACUCGUUAAUAUGCCAACCACAGCGAAGGAAUAUCCAUGGGAGAAUAUUCAGAGGAUUUUUGAUGCGAAAGGCUUUUGAGUUGGCCUUUUCAACCUCAUAUGCCUUUGCUGGCGUGGCACCGCGGUUCCUUGAAGUUGACCAUGUUGAUUUCUUGAGACCGGUGAGUACUCAUCCUGCGCAUGAUGUAUUUGUAUGUGUAGGUGAUGCUGUUGCACGACUUAGCUGCUGAGUGUGGAACCGUGGCAAUCAGCAGCGAUGGUCGCACUUGUGCCUUCACUCUUGCAAUCUGAUGUAUGAGUAAAAUUAUGGAUCUGUUAAGUGGAAGAUCAUAAUAUGAAGGAUACUAUUUUUGGGAUGUUGGUGGAUGUUGGUAAUUUUCUCCGCCUCAAAUGCUGCAUCCUGUAUACGUAGUUUGACAUUCCAGCUGAACCCCCGAUAGAUGUCGAAGUUGUGGCCCGUGUGAUGCAACCUGGGCUCAGGUCAAGCGAGGCACGAGCGGCCCAUGUGUGUUACAUUUUCUUUUAGCAAAUUUUAUUAUCAUUCCGCUCCUCUGAUCGUGCAUAAUCAAAUUCUAACGGAGAAACAAGAAUGAAUUGGUCACCUAGUUGGGGUCACUAAAGUCUGCCCCUAAUAGUCAAGAAUGAACCCCAUAAUGAAAUGAAUUUUUAUGAAGUCAUUGUAUGAGAACAAAGUGGUUCAGGAAUGGUGGAUUCUAGUCUGUUACAAAUGCGGUUUGUCUGAAUACAUGGCAUUGAAAAUUGAUGCUUGAAUGCAAUUCACCUUCUUCAUAAUUGCGACAGCAUUAAGCCAAUUGGCAAUACACAGAUAGAGAGCCAGAUACAUACGACGACUUGCUAAAUUAGGAAGAACUAGGGCAUUUCAAAGCCCUCGUCAAGCAAUUCACAAAUGGAAUUCAUGAGAUGUAGGAUUAUCAUCGGUCAGAAUCACAAAUCAGCUCUAAAAUUUGGAAUAUGUUCACUUUUCCACAAUUCUAGAGCGGGGUUAACCUGCAACCAAGAAUGUAACCAUCAAACAUUAUAUCUACAUACUCGAACAUGCAACGUUACAUAGCACCAUCAACACUAAGCCCCAACGGCCUGAGUCCGCUUUGAAGUGCUGAUGUACAGAACUGCUGUAAGUCAUGCUAGUUAAAAACAGUCGAAGUCAGCAAAGAUAAGACUAAAACAUCAGAAAUGUUGGAUACAUCAUUACCGUUAUUUCCUCAAAUAAAAGCAAUGCCAUACUUGUUUUUCAGCUGCCGCUGACGUACUCUUCCGUCUGUCCCAUUGUUAUGUUCAUAUAUUCAGCCGGGCAGGCUAGAAUACCUGCAUAAAACUCCAACCCAUUACAACAUAUAAGAACACCACACAACUUCAGGGAGCACAAGAUUGUGGUUCUGGACUAAUCAUCAGUAUAGCCUGCAUGUAGCAUGGGAAGGAGAACAUGCUUGUAAGGAACAUUUCAGAUUAACUAAUUUAGCAUCAUCCUACUCACCUUUCCUCCAGGUCUCACGCCACAAGCACUAAGGUUUACAAAACUACUAGAAGUUGACAAAAAAAAAAAAAAAAACUUGGUCAAGGCGCAUAAAGCGCACACUCCAGCCUUUUCUCUAUCAGAUUUACUACAAAUUGUAAAUUGAGAAAGCUCAACUGAGAAAACGACGGCAUAAAAGGGUAUUGCCUAUAAUAAUGCUCUCAUUUUCAUGAUAUCGGAAUUGAUCAAAUGGCUUUCAAACCACCAAAUCUUAAUUCCAUCUAAGUUCACUAAUUUAUCAUCAAAGAGCCCGCUUCUCCCCUUCUUUUUCUCUGCGCUUGUUCUCCUUCCCUCUCUCUCUCAACACCUAAAAGAAAAAAGAAAACUAUGAAGUUUAAAGCCAGGCUUCUUUUCUUAUUCUCAUGCCAUCAAAGAAAGGUUUGUUUGUAUCUUGUAAUUGAAUAGCGGCAUGUAUGUGCAAGAUCCUUGUUUAUGAAUUGAAUGGCAUAAGGAUGUCCUGUUGGCCGAUGUUUGAGUUUGAAAGGCAUUGAUAACGUUGUGAAUACUCACAUCUGUCACGUGUGCAUAUUCUGGCUAUUAUUUGCACUAAUUGUGACUUGUGUGGAUUUGUAUGCCUUGAUUAGGACUCGAGGGAUUUAGAUUGAGGUUACAUCCCUUCAUGUUAUAGAUAAUGCAAAGCGAAGGCUUUACUAUUGAUCUGCUAUCGACAAUUAAGCUCCACGUAUAGGGCAUGUCUGAGGCAAAGUACUCUCUUACGCGAGGUUUAAGAAGUUUACUUACUGAGUUUAUCUCACUCGUUAUUGUUUAAAUUUUUCAGGCCCUAAUCAUGACUAGCCCUUUCUGUCACGUGCACUUCAAGGUGCCUGUCGAUCAAGACACCCAGAUGGUCCCCUACCCAAUUGAGGGGAUUGACGUGGCACACGAGAAGUACAUGACCACUAUCUGGGUGGACGAGGGGCUGACAUAUUUGGUGCCCCAUUAAUUCGUAGCAUGGUACGUCUGGUUCGAAGGAGAGUUCUUCGGCCCUCUCUAGGGUUUUGACAAGCUACCAGGUAAGGGACCCGGGGGUUCCAUCUGGGACCCCAUGGUCAUGGACAUCCUCAACGCCAUCGUCACUGACUCGGAGACGAACUUGGAUCUGGAGUCCAACCCGAAGCCUGAGCCCGAGCUCAAGCCAUGGUAGUAUGACGUGGACGCGUACUAGACGUGUAGGGGAUAUCACUUUUUGAGGUCACUCUCGUAAAGAAGAGGAGCUAGGCUUGCCCCGAGACCCUUUUGACGAAUCGGAAAGGAUCUACAUCGCGUAAAUGAAAAUUCCAAUGUGCUAAGUUGAUGUGUGUCUAUAUAUAUAUAUAAGUUUUUUUAUGUGUUUCCAUGCUAUCUAUCUAUCUAUCUAUAUAUAUACAUACAUACAUACAUACAUAUAUACAUACAUAUAUAUAUAUAUAUAUAUAUAUAUAUAUAUAUAUAAGUUUUUUUAUGUGUUUCCAUGCUAUCUUUAUUGAUGUAUAUAAUUGGGUGGAGUUAAUUCUUCGCUUGUGUAUAAUUGAAAGAUCAAAUGAAAAGAUCGGUAAUGCCUCCUGAGACGUCGCAAUUAAAUGACUAAAGGGAAGAUUGGUUGCCGCGCAUCAAAGAGUCGGGGUGUGACACUCUAUGCUGAUUUCCUAUACAGCAAGAAAAAAUUCUACACUGUGAUUUCCACGGGAAAGGGAAAGUAAACUCUUUGGCUAAAGCAAAUAUUUCCAUUUUUUUUUUUGGCUGAAGCAAAAUUUUCCAUUUUUUUUUGGCUAAAGCAAACAUUUUGGCAGAAUGUCUUCAUGGUUGAAUUAUGAUCACAAUUGAGUGAAAGGACAUUGUCAUUAUCUUGGUUGAAUAAAACCAUGGCAUUUGGCUCCGUUCUAGAUCCAUGGAACAAACUGAACAUUUGAGACUUCAUCAUAUACUCGCUUUGGGUCUUUUUGAGCUUUGGCUCCAAAAAAAUUUAUUCCUUGGCUCACGUCUUAAUUGGAACCAUGGUAUUAGUAGGGUAUACAUGGACUCAGAAUAUCCCUUUUUAAGGCGGACCUUCUCGUGAUGAGUUCUUUAAAUACUAAGAUGAACUUUUCUAAGAAAGGAUUUCAGAUGUUUAGUAUUUAAUAUUACUCUUUCUCACAUUCACUUUAUGUUAGACAACUCAAAAUGUCACAUUUACCAUUGGAAAUGUUCAUUGUGAAUAUCAAACACCAAGGAGAUGGAGAUGGGCCGCUGCCACGGCCUAGACAACCUUGAAAACCUCUAUAUAUUCAGAGUGCAGGGGUAAAUAUCCCCAUUUGUUUUGGAAGAAAAGAGAUUGAGCAGUCCAAUCAUGCGAAAGAGUGUAAUGGACUCAAUAAUGUGAUUUUUUUUCGUUAAGUCCAUUCAAUUUGACUAACGAAAAAUAGUAGCAUGCUUUCUUAUUAUUUUCUCUUUCCUACGUGGUGUUAAGGUUAACUAAAGCACUAAAACAAUGUCGUUUUGAUCCAAAUUCUAAUUUUUACACCAAAUUUUAAUUAAAUUAGAUUAAAAAAUUCAAGAGUUUUUCUAAAAGAAAAGGACGAACUAAAAUAAAAAGUCUAAAAGUUAAUUUACAAAAAAAAAAAAAAAACACCGGCAGGAGGAGAGCCAGCUUCCAUUAAAACAACUUUAAUUGACGUAAUAAUUUGAGUGGCAUAAUUCAAUGUCACGUAUUAAUAAUAGUGGGUAAUCGGUAUGAUUAAGAACUUACCACCAAUCUAAAUAUACAGAGUCUGUCCAGAGAGAAAAGUCUAAUGGAGAUUAUGUUAAUAAAAAGAAGAGACAAUACCAAAAUUUAGUCCAUACAAUCUUAGUCAAUGUUCAACUUGGUUCGUAAACUUAAAUUUUGGUCAAAUUGAUCCUUGUGCUCUUUGAUGCAAAUCAAAUUGUGGUUUUAUAUGGUUCUGUAAACAAGGAAUGUCUAAUCUGAUUAUUGGUUUGUCAAAUAAUGUUGAUUUUCUGAUUUUUCAGCUCGAUGUACCAUUAUUAAGCAUGCAAACCGCCCUAUGAAUGUGUAUUAAUUAUAAAGAAUUGUAUGAGUCCUUCACAAAAUGGUUGGCUCAAUCCUAAGAUUGUUCCAAGGGAGAAGUGCUGGAUCCGAACAUGACUCCAUCAUAUCUCAACCAAAUGUCGUUGAGUAUAAUAUGAUUUUGUUAAUUCUCAAUCCAAACAUUUUGUCCGAUAUUUUGUAGAAGUAUUGAGUUCUUCGACUAGGUUAAUCUAUUUUAGAUUGAUGUAAAAUCACUAGAUAUAUCAAUGAGAGUAGUUUAUACGCAAUUAUUAAUCUGAACUAUCUAAUUCGUAAUUUUUUUAUACUCGAAGGGGUAAGGUAACUAGCAUCCAUAAUGAUCAAUUUGGUCUGUUCCAUGGCCGGUUUGACUUGGUUUUCGGAUAGAAUUGGACCCGUUGCAUAACCCUAAUUGUCAUUAUCAUUAGAAAAAUGGUUAGCUCACAACUUCUUUUACCUUCUUGGUAUUUUGAAUACAUACUGUCUUCCGAUAAAUAAGCAAGGAACCAUCAAUAUGUAUAUAUACAAAUUUUGUUGUAAUCCCGUUAAAUCACCCAAGAUUUGCUGGGAGAGAGAGGGGAAAGGGGGGGGGGUCUAAGGUGGGUUUUGCGAAACAAUUGGUUCGAUUAGUUACUUGAAGUAAAUGUUCAACGUCACAUGUUAAUGAAAUAUGCUGAUAUGGAUCUCAUAAAAUCAAUCUCAAACGGAGAAAAUUUUACAAUUAAGUUUCUUACAUGUCGUUAUUCACUAUGGAGUACUCGCUAUGGAUAGAAAUUUUAUUUUUCCGGUUUAGUUACCAUGUGCAGAAUGUUCAUCCACGUAACCUAAGCUGCUAAUGGCGAUUUUAGAAUUAUUUCCAUAGAAAUUCAAAAAAUGACAAGAAGAACAAGGAAAUCUUGGCUUUUGACGGAUAUGGAGAAUUUACCUUUAAUUUCUUAAUCUACAAUGAUCUCAAAUGAUGGUUUGAGGAAGUAAAACGACAUUAAUUAAUAUUUUUGCAUGUUUAUUUUCUUAUAGCUCUUGCAAUUUAAGAAUUUUCCAUAUUAAAUAUUUAAAAGAAAGGUAAAUAUCACAAAAAUAUCUUAAACUAAUACAUUCAUGCCACAAUUACCCCAAAUUAAUAUUUGUGUCACAAAAACCAUCAAACUAGUACAUUUGUACCGCAUUUACCCAAAAUUAGUUUUUGUGUCAUAAAAAUCCCUAGACUAGUACAACUUGCCACGUUCUCAUGCCACAUUUACCUCAAAUUGUGGUAAAUCCGAAUUUGUUUUUGAAUAAAUGUGACAUGGAUGUACUAGUAUAGAAUUUUCAUGUCACAAAAUUAAUUUGGAUUAUAUGCGACAUAACUGUAUCAGUUUGGAGUAAUUAUGACACAUAUGUACUAGCCUAAGAGUUUUUACAGUACAAAAAUUAGUUUUGGGUAAAUAUAGCACAAGUGUAUUAGUUUUGGGUUUUUUGUGAUAUUAAACCUUAAAAUAACUUGAAAACAUACUAGAAUAUCCUAUAAAAGGCUCUUUUUUUUUUACCCAAGGAAACCCCGUACGCCAACAGCGCGGCGAGGCAAACCCUAGGGAGGACACGUAGAAACCACCACCACGUUCCCCCAGGUAAGGUGCCCAAAUGCGACGCCCGAGAAUCGAACUCCUUCCCGUGCGUUAGGGGGAGAAGCUCGCCGUCAACAGUGCCACCCAAACGGGUGGUUCCUAUAAAAGUUUCAAAAUGACAAUUGAGUUCUAAUUUUUUUUUUUUUGUUUUCUCAAUUGAGUCCACCUAAUCAAUAUUAACCGGAAAUUAUUGAUGUGGAUGCUGGUAAUACCACAUAGAGCCGUCAGCAUUGACAUGGACAAUUUUUUAAAAAGAAAAUUGAAUUUCUUUUUUCUUUUAUUUUUCUACCAAGUUCGUGAGGGCCGCAAUAAUGAGGGUUAUGGUCCUCACCCACACCUCACAAAAGCUGCAAAUCCCUCACUGAUCAUGCGCAAGGGUUGUGAAACCCUCCUUGGUAGCAAUCAUGGGCUUCAUGGCCCUCACCUAAUGGCUAGCAAGGGUUGACUAGCCGUCGCCCAAUGGUCGACAAAGGUUGGCCGUGACUCUCGUUGGGCUUGGAAGGAAAAAAAGGAAUAGAAAGAAAGAAAAAAUAAAAUAAAAUAAAAUAAAAUAAUUAUAAAAAGUAUUCAUGUUAGUACCGAUCAUACCACGCAGAAUGACCAUCAUCCUGUCGGUAAUUUCUGGUUAAAAUUGAUCGGAUUGACUUAAUUGACAAAAUGUGAAAAGUGUUUAAGACUCAAUUGAUAAAAUUAAAAUGUUUGAAAUUGAACUAGUAAAAAUACAAUAAGUUUAAGAUUUUUUAAACAAUUUUUCAUGGAUUUCCAUCAUUUUGCAAAGCUUAAAACAUCAGCUUGAUUUCAAAUUUUGCAAGGAAAACAGUAAAACCUUUUAAGUAUAGUUUUGGUCCUGAGCAGGACCUUAAAAGGCUCAAGGGAAGUAACGGGUGGGAGAACUGCCCUGGGGUGGAAGACCCCGCGCUGACUCCCAUAAGGGCAGGGUUAAGGCCUUGAAAAAGAUUCCUAACCCCAUAGCUAAACCGGCCACAAUCCCUAUAUAGGAAACGGCCAGCUCACCUGACUCCCGCAACGCCUUCCCCUUUUGAAAUAGAAGGGGCGUGGUACAGGAGAAUGAUGGUGCUCAUCCAAAAGAAUGAUGGUACACCAGCUUGAUUUCAAAUUUUGCAAGGAAAACAAUAGAACCUUUUAAGUACAGUUUGAAUAAGCUAUUAAUUUAAGUAUUCUAAAGUUUUCACUACUGUCAUAGAAUGAUUAACGAAUGCAAAGGAACUCACCUACAGACAUCCGAUCAGUCAAUUUUGAAUGAAGAUGCAAGAGCUGUACAUCAAGUGUAGGACACCAACGUGAAGUGUAGGACACCAACGUGACUCUUAACUUUCUGCGAAAAUGUUUUACGACAAAAAAUGAGAAUCACAAACCACGUGAUUUCGUGCAAGUCCAGAACAUUGUGUGGGGACCUUGAAGAAAAAGGCAAAAGAAAAAAAGGAGUCAGGCUUAAGGAUUGAAGCAUUGGGAUGGUCACUUCUUGGCACAAAUUGCCUUGGUUGGACAUAGCCAUGCCUUCAUGGAGCGUCCCUUCAUGGAGCGUCCCACCGACAUUACCUCCCAUUUGGCUUUGUAUCAUCCACGGAUAAGGGUGUUAGGGAAAUCCCUUAUGAUGCUUUGAAGAUGACAAAAUAAAUCAAAGGCUACUAAUGUGUUUAAUGGUUGAGUAAUAGGCUAUACAGAUGAUAGAACGUGUAAAAGAUAUUAUCAAAUCUAUAUUUGGAAGAACCAGAAGAUAAACUCUAUGCUGAAGUAGAAUAUGUUCAGACUCGGAUUGUAAAGUCUAUUACACUCAGACUCAGAUUGUAAAGUCUAUGGCUCUUAGACUUUACAUCAAGAUUCAACAGAACGUAACUCAAGCCCAAUCAUAUAACGGCUAGUGAUCUGGUUUGGAUUCCACAUCAAGAUUGAUUUAAUUGACUAAAUCUAUUUGAUUGACAAUUGGAUCUUGAAGACAAGAACUUUCUAUACGAAGGAGAUUUACUUAUGGAAACCAAGAUUCUGUUUGUAUGGGCAAUCAGAAUCAAUUUGGGAUUCUACCUUUGUCACUCAACGGUUACUAAAUCUUCCAGAUACAGUGCUGUCAAAUGGGUAGAUUGGAAGACGAUCCUCAAGAUACUGUCCAAUGGCUAGUUUGGAAGUGGAGAAGUAUUUAAGGAGAUGAAAGACCGAUGAGCCAGUAAGAAGCGGAGCGUAGAAUUUAUAAUUCCAAAGUCUAAGCAACCUUCAAUCAUACACUUGUCUUUGGUGAGUUUAAACGUUUGUGAUCGUGAGAGAAAUACCAAAAGAGUGACUUAGUGAGAUAGUGUGAUCUAUUACUAAGUGUUUGCACUCAAAUUUGUAAUCUCUUGUUGAUUGUAUAGUGGAAUCCAGCUAAGAAGGCUGUUAGCGUGGAAGAGUGAACGCAGACUUGGAUUAAGCCGAACCACUAUAAACCUUGUGUUCUUAUUCUCUUCCCUAACUCAUUUGUUUUGUUUAAAGUUUAUUUUAUUCCGCAUAUAUUUGCCAAGAUUUAUUUUAAACACCUAUUCACCCCCCUCUAGGUGUUCAUACUAGCACUUUUAAUUGGUAUCAGAGCCAAGUGCUCGGUUUAUAAAAGUGUUUUUACUUUUGAGCUAAAGAUCUUUUAUGGCUAGUAUCUUGGCACCAGAACUUAUGGAGGGACAAAGCAACACAAGGCCACCAUAUUUUGAUGGAAAAGAAUACAAUGUGUGGAAGAACAAAAUGAAGGCAUCCUAAGAUCUCGAAAUCCCUUGCAAUGGGAUGUUGUGGAAAAAUGAAUCAAUCCCACUGCUGCAUCCUAAUCAAAUAAGAAUGGCAAAGACAAAGAAACCAAACCCACUGCUCCUAUGUCCCGGAUGGAGAUGUCCAAAAGAGAAGCGCUUGAUGCAAAAGUUAUUUAUUCUUUAUAUUGCGCAUUGUCUCCUGUUGAAUAUAACAGAAUUUCUUCAUGUGAAACACCAAAGGAAGUCUGGGAUAGACUUCAUGUUACAUAUGAAGGGACCAAUCGUGUAAAAGAAACAAAAGUAAACUUUAUGCUUGGCAAAUAUAAAUCCUUCAAGAUGAAGCAAUGAGAGUCGAUUGGAGAUAUGUUUAGCCGUUUUACAGAAAUUGUAAAUAGUUUAGCAUAUCAAGGUCAGCAAAUUUCUACCCCAAUUAAGGUCAACCAACUCUUGCAAGGUCUCUCAAAAGAUUGGAACAAUGUCAAGACCUCAAUCCGAGAGACUCAGAGAAUUAUUGCACUUUCCGUUGAUGAAUUGAUUGGCACUCUUCAAUCAACGAUGAAGAUCCCGAAGGCAAGAAGUCCAUUGCUUUAGUAUCUAACGCUGUUUUUGAUGAAACAGACUCAGAAAAUGACUUGGACGACGAAGAACUUACUUUUAUGAUCAAGAAAUAAAAAAAGUUGAGUAGAAAAGGAAGCAAAUUCAGUGGAAGAAGACAAUACUAGCAGAAUGGGCAGAAAAAAAUAAUGAAAGAAUAUGAUAAGCAAGGAAAUAUAUACUUAACAGCACAUUCAGAAUCUGAGUCUGACUCAGACACAAACUCAGAAUCAGAGUCUGACUUAGACACAGACUCAGAAUUCGAUGAGAAAAUCGAGGUAAGCCAGUCAAAAAUUCCUCUCAAAGUUUCAAAGUAUAUAAAUGAGCUUUGCUUAAAUCUCAAAUCUUCUUUUAAAAGGAUCUCCGAACUUAAAAAUGAGAAUUCUCGACUUAGGCAAUAGGAUCUUUCUCAAAAAGAAAAUUUUGAAAUUUUACAAAAAGAUUUUCUACAAACAAAAGAAAGUUGAGAUUUACUUGUCAAAGAAAAUGAUUCUUUGAAGAAAGAAUUUUCAAAUAUUUCGACAAGAUUUUCAAAUGGUUCAAAAACAUUAUAGCAUAUCUUUUCUAUACAAGUACCUUACUAUAAUAAGUUGGGACUUGGUUUCAAUAAGAAAAGUGAUUCUUUAAUUGAUUUUUCUAAAGUUAAGGAGAGACUUAGACAAAGACCUCCUAAACUUGCGUACAAUAAGCAUUUUCAAAAUAUCUUUACAAAACCUGUUGGUCUAAAUGCCCUCAAGUGUUCAAAUUGUGGAGAUUUGGAACACUUUGAGAAAGAUUGUCCUAAAGUUUGGAGACAUAUCAAGAAAGAUUGGAUAAAAACAGCAUACUCUACUAACUCUCAUGGACCCAAGAAAAAAUGGGUAAAAAAAAAAAAAAGAUGAGUUAUUUUUGCAGGAAAUAAAGAAAGAAAAGAAUGAGAGUUUGGUAAGGAAUGUAUAUUUUUUUAUUCUCAAUUUGGUUUGAGUACACAAUUUAAAAUUUCUCAUUAUGCUUGAUAUUCGAUAUAUCCUUGGUUGAUUGAGAUUUUAUAAUGAUCAUAUUCCUUGAUUUGUUUUAUUGAAGAAAGAAUCGCAUGAUUUGUUUUUGUGAUUCAAGAUUUGAUUUGAUACGUAUGAUCAUUUUUGAUAUCAUGCUUAGAGACAAUUGAGUUUAUUUGGUCUGAUUUUAUACUCUUAGAUUUUAUUAUAUUUUGUAUAACAGAAAUCUGUUUUACGUAAUAUUAAUUUAUUAUGCAAUAUAUUCUUAGAUACUCAAGGAUUUUAUUCUCUCUGUUUUUUAUCGUACUAUAACUAAGUGAGAAUUUAUUUUUCAAAAUAUCACCGUGCAUAAUAUUCUUUCUUUGAAUACUUUGUUAUGAUGAAUUAAAAAAGAAUAUUUGAUUAUGGAGAUUUUAUAUUUUGCUCUAACGUCAUGGAAGGAUCCAAAUUGACGGAUACCAAAAAGGAAAUGAGUUGAUUGUAGGAAAUUCAAUAAGGCAAAAAUGAUUGCAAAUCUACGUAGAUUUUGGUGCAAUAAGAAAAGGAUCUCAGGCAAAGAUUGGUAAUGAUUUUUUUUUUAAUCAAUGGUAUAUUUGAAACAUAUACCUGGGUAAGAGAAUAUUUUUUUAUUCCGCCUUGCAAAUUUCUACGUGCAUUUAUCAUGAUUUUGGAUGAUUGUUUAUUACAUUGCGAAUAUCUUUUGUUAUAAAUAUAAGGUAUUGCAAUUUUGGCACGUGACAGAAAUAUCUAUUUUCCUUUUGCAAAAUGCAUAUCUGAAAUUUAUGCUCAAGGAAAUAUCUUUGAUCUCGAAAGAUAUUACUACAUAUUCAUAGAUAUUCUUGCUAUAUUCUUAGAAGAUAUAUUAUAUCUAGCAAGUUUGAUCCACAAAUCAAAGGAAUAUAUUACAUGACAUUUUUGCAAAGAUGAUUAUCUAUUAUACAAGAUUUUGCAGGUGACAAUAGAAUCUUCCAUAUGAAUUUUGGAAAACUCGAUCUGAAAAUUAUGAAGUUUCUAUACUGUCUUUUGAAGGUUUAAAAAUUCCCUUCCUUGUGCAAAAAUUUUGCUUAUUGAGGAAAUCCCUUAUGCGUCAUAUGAAAGAUUGAGUAGUUCUGAAUUUUAAUUUCAUAUAUGAAUAUUUUCAAUUUCAUAUAUGGUAUUUAAUUUAUUUAUUUGAAGAAAUUGGAUUAUAUAUUAUAUGGAUAUUGUUACAGCUUAUUUGUGCAAAAAGUUUGUUAAGUUGAUGCAAGUUGAAUUCGAGAUGAGCUUGGUUGAAGAAAAUAAAAUUUUGCCUCGAAUUUCGAAAUGCAAGUGAUCGUUGCGGAUGUUGUUGCUACGAAGUAAAAAUAUUCUGUUCAACAUGCACAAGCAACAAUUGUUUCUAUUCGCAAAUAUUGUCAUAAUGAUAGGGGGAGAAUGUGAAUCUAAAAGAAAGGAAAGAAUUGUGAUCAUCUCAAAAAGGCAACAAAUUGAGGGGGAACUUUGAUCAAUUAUGGAAAAAUAUUUUUGGAUUGAUUGUGAUCUUGUUAUGAAAAGAAGGAAAAGGUAAGUGCGUCAAAAUUUAAGUUUUACAAAAUCUGGUUAGUGCAUCUUUUAUUACCUUUUGUCAUUAACAAAUCUCUUAUUGAUAUUAUUUUAUUAUGACAAAAAGGGUACAUAAAUUUUAUGAUGCAUCCAUGAUUUUUAUUGGAUAUUUGCUGAUAUAAUUGAAGUGAGCUAUAUUGCAUAUCUUUAAUAUUCGAUAAAAGCUGAUUUUUUGGAAAUUGUGUUUCAUGCAAGAUAUAUUUAUAAUUUUAUAUUCUCUACGUGAUACUUUUUAUCGCUUUUUGAUUAUGACAAAAAGGGAGAGAAGAUAUGAAUAUGCAUAUAUGUUGAUUGGUUAAUAUUAUAAUAUUUAGCUACGAUUAUUUUUCUAUAUAUUAUUCUCGAUUUAUUUGAUAUAUUAUGAUAUCCUUUGAUUUAAAUUAAUAUUUUUAAAAGCAUGUUUACAAAUCUGCAUAUUCAGAGAUUAUUUUGUCAUCAUCAAAAAGGGGGAGAUUAUUAGGGAAAUCCCUUAUGAUGUUUUGAAGAUGACAAAAUAAAUCAAAGACUACUAAUGUAUUUGAUGGUUGAGUAAUAGGCUAUGCAAAUGAUAGAACGUGUAAAAGAUAUUAUCAAAUCUAUACUUGGAAGAACCAGAAGACAGACUCUAUGCUGAAGUAAAAUAUGUUCAAACUCAUAUUGUAAAGUCUAUGGCACUCAGACUCAGAUUAUAAAGUCUAUGGCUCUCAGACUUUACAUAUAGAUUCGAUAGAACGUAACUCAAACCCAAUCAUAUAACGGCUAGUAGUUUGAUUUGGAUUCCACAUCAAGAUUGAUUUAAUUGACUCAAUCUAUUUGAUUGACAAUUGGAUCUUGAAGACAAGAACUUUCUAUACGAAGGAGCUUUACUUAUGAAAACCAAGAUUCUGUUUGUAUAGGCGAUCGGAAUCAAUUUGGGAUUCUACCUUUAUUACUCAACGGCUACCAAAUCUACUAGAUAUAGUGUUGUCUAAUGGGUAGAUUGGAAGACGAUCCUCAAGAUACUAUCUAACGGCUAGUUUGGAAGUGGAGGAGUAUUUAAGUAGAUGAAGGACCGAUGAGCAAGUAAGAGACGGAGCGUAAAAUUUAUAAUUUCAAAGUCUGAGCGACCUUCGAUCAUACACUUAUCUUUGGUGAGCUUAAACUUUUGUGAUCGUGAGAGAAAUACCAAAAGAGUGACUUAGUGAGAUAGUGUGAUCUACUAUUAAGUGUUUGCAUUCAAAAUUGUAAUCUCUUGUUGAUUGCAUAGUGGAAUCCAGCUAAGAAGGCUAUUAACGUGAGAGAAUAGACGUAGGCUUGGAUUAAGCCGAACCACUAUAAACCUUGUAUUCUUAUUCUCUUCCCUAACUCCUUUGUUUUGUUUAAAGUUUAUUUUAUUCGGCAUAUAUUUGCCAAUAUUUAUUUUAAACACCUAUUCACCCCCUUCUAGGUGUUCAUACUAGCAUUUUUAAAGGGAAAGUAAACUCUUUAGGCUAAGCGAUUUCCAUUUCUUUGGCUAAAGCAAAAAUUUUGGUGGAAUGUUGUCAUUAAUUGUCAUUAUCUUGGUCCAAUAAAAUCAUGGCAUUUAACUUCGUACAAGAUUCGCGGACCAAUUGGAACGUCCAAGAUUUCAUCAUAUAUCCACUUCAGGUCUUUCUGAAGCUUUGUCACCAAAUCAUUUAUGCUAUGGCUCAUGUCUUAAUUGGAACCAUGGUAUCAAUAGGGUAUAUGUGGACUCAGAAUUUUCCUUUUUAAGAUGGACCUUCUCAUUUAAAAUGCUAAGAUAAACUUUUCUAAGGAAGGAUUUCAAAUGUUUAGUAUUUAAUAGUAUUAUUUCUCACAUUUACUUCAUGGUAAACAAUACAAAAUGUCACAUUUAUCAUUGGGCAUGUGCAUCGUGUAUCAAAAACCCCAAGGAGAUGGAGAGGGCUGCCGCCGCCACCACCCAAACAACCUUGAGAAUCUCUAUAUGCUCAAAGUGUAGCGCUAAAUAUUCUCAUUUGUUUAGAAAGAAAUGAGAUUAAGCAAUUCAACAUGUGAAAGCGUGUAAUUGACUCGAUAAUGUGGUCUUCGUCCUCCGAGAAAGAGAAGGAAUGGCAGUGCUUGUCUUCUUGUUUUGUCAGCUGUAUGAUGGCAACCUCUUGGCAUCGUACAAACAUGUGCAAUAUGCUGUGCUUACUCAUUUGCAAUUAUAUAUGAAUUGGUUGGACUAUUACCCAGUGAGGUUAAGACAUCAGCUUUGGAUUACUGUAAUAAAAUAGUACCACCAGUAGCCUUGAUUAUAUGGUCUUUGUCCUUUGAGAAAGAAGGCGUAAUGAGACUGCUUGUGUUUUUGUUUUGUUAACUAUUAAAAAAAAAAAAAACGUGCAGUAUGAUAUGCUCUCUCAUUUGCAAUUAUAUACAAAUUGGUUGGACUAUUACCCAAUGAGAUGAAGAUUUCAGCUUUGGAUUACUGUAAUAAAAUAGUACCGGUAGCAGACUUGACAAUAUGGUCUUUGUCCUUUGAGAAAUAGACGUAAUGGGAUUGAUUAUCUUUUUGUUUUGUCAGCCAUAAAAAAAAUGUGUAGGAUAAAUGAUUUCGGAGCAUCUAGAGCAAUGCUAAGUCAAAUCCAGUGAGGCAAUAGAUUCGUGUUGGAUCCACAUAAUUAAAAAGCUUUGUCCCGUUUGCAGACAAGAAAUUUUCCUCCAUCUAUGCAUAACCUCCAUUAAAAUAACUUUGAUUGUAUUGUGAAAAACACAACCUAAUAAUUUGUGAGGCAUAAUUUAUCUUGACGUAGUAAUAAUAGUUAGAAUUGAUUAAGAACUUCUUUUUUUAUCAGAACAGAAGAUUUUAUAGCUAGAGGGGCAUAAUACAUUCCACUGCUAUAGCAUCCGAGAUAAGCAGGUCAAAGAGAAGAGGGGAGGGGGAUUCGGCCCAAGACGGGGAAAGAGAGCCCUUGCUGUGGGCUUUUGCGGCCCAAUCAACUACAGAGUUAGCUUCCCUCUUACAAAACCUAAUAUUCAGAAAGGGAAAGACACGACACAGAGCAACGGCUUCAUGGACAAGAGGGCGUAUCUCCCACGGGGGCUCUUGCUGAUUGCUAAUGGAUUCUACCAAGAGUAGACUAUCCGAUUCGAUCUCCAUAGGCGUUGCAAUAUUUCCUUGCUGCAAAAGGUGGCGAAGAGCAACAAUUAGUGCCUGAGACUCUGUCUGCAUCGCCGACGAUGCCUGCACAGUUCUGGUAAAUCCUUCUUUCAAUUGUUCGGACCGAUCCCUACAAAUAAAGGCAGUCAAUCCCUCUGUAUUACCAGAAGCAUAAGCCCAAUCAAUAUUGAUUUUCAGGGUACCCAGAUCGGGGGGGCUUCAAAAAUUGUCGAGAGUUACGCGGUUCUUCCCUGCGUUCGUCGGAGGCAUAGCAAGGAUCUUAACAAAUUUGACCUGGGCGAGUGCAACUUGGACAACAAAGUGCGGAUCCGGUUGCUGAUGGGAGAAGACGGCCCNNNNNNNNNNNNNNNNNNNNNNNNNNNNNNNNNNNNNNNNNNNNNNNNNNNNNNNNNNNNNNNNNNNNNNNNNNNNNNNNNNNNNNNNNNNNNNNNNNNNACUGCUAUACUAUCUCCAGCUCAGGUUUUGAAUUCUUUUGUUGUAUUCUAUCUGCUAUCCAUUCAUCUAUGUGCGAAACAGCUAUGGUAUUAAUCUAGAUAUCUAUGUCAGGGUCUGACCAAACUAAUUUAGUCCAAGGGCAUAACAAAAGAAGGUGUUCGAUCGUCUCAGGUUGUUAAGUUUGGCAGAUAGGACAGAUGGGAUCAAUACUAAUUCAACGUCGAAAUAAAUUUUCUUUUGUUGACAAUGCAUUAUGGCAAAUAGUCCAAAAGAAAACCUUGACCUUUGGUGGUAGAUUAAUUUUCCAUAUGCUUUUCCAAAGUAGAGUAGGUUGUUGGUAAGACGAUGAAGCCUACUGCGUGAUUUUGCUCGUUUCUUCUUUCCUAAUUGACAGAUAACCGCUACGAACUGUAUACUGUCCAUUGGUUCUUACCAUCCAUACUAGCUUGUCUGUUGUAUAGUUUGGCCACACUGGAAUUUUGAGAAUCUUUGCUGUUGUUUGUUCAUCAUAAAAGUUUUCUAGAAUUGCGAUAUUCCAGUUAGGUGAAUUUUGUACCGGUAGAUCAGCAACCAAUGUAGGUUCUUCUCUUUGAGCGGGACCGCCAAGAAUUCCCCUAGGAAGCCAUCGAUCCUCACGAAUUUUAAUAGUUGAUUCGUCGCCAAUUGACCAUUGAAGAGGUAGAAUAGUAUCCCUUUCGACCAGUAGGCUCUCCCAUCCCCAUGAAGGCCAGGCACCUCUAUGGGCAUGACAAAAGUCUUGCAAAGGAAAAUAAAUGGCCUUGAACAACUUACUCCACAAUGAGGAAGGCUAUUGGAUUAAUCUCAAUGCUUGUUUACCAAGCAUAGCCUUGUUGAAAGCCACAAGAUCUCUAAAACCCAGUCCUCCCGACGCCUUCGUGCUUUUUAAGACAUCACAUUGUUUCCAAUGAAUUCCUGCUUUUCGACAAUCAUUCUGCCACUAGAAUCGGGUAAUCUUUUUCUCAAUAGAUUUGCAUAUGGAUAUAAGAAUUUUAAAAAUAAACAUUACAUACUAAAGAAUAGCUUGCACAACAGUCUUAAUUAGGACCUCCUUACCACCCGUUAAGAUAAGAUUCUCCUUCCAGCCCUCCAUUUUUGAAUUCACUCUACCCAAUAACCAAGCAAACAUCUCUCCUUUUGACCGUCCCCAAUCAGAAGGAAUGCCUAGGUAUUUACAUGUUCUUUCCAGCACAGGAACUCUUAGCACAUUUGCCAAGUUUUCUUUGAGACUCCUCGGACAAUCCUUGCUAAGGAAAAUAUCUGACUUGUUCCUAUUAAUCAACUGACCUGUAGCUAGGCAAUAUUGAUUUAGAAUACUUGCCAGGUUUUGGCAUUCUAUUAUUGUGCCAUUUAAAAAGAAUACAGCAUCGUCGGCGAAAAAUAAAUGAGAGAGAGUAGGACUCCAUCUGUUAAUUUUAAUGCAUUUCAGCUGCCUUAUGUCGACGGCUUGAUGGAUGAGAGAUGAAAGGAGAUUAGCCAGUAGGAUGAAUAAAUAAGGGGAUAAAGGAUCUUCCUGACGAAGUAUUUGCGUAGGAUGAAAAUAUCCCAAUUGUUGGCCAUUGAACUUUAUAUUGAUCGAUACCGUGGAUAUACAUUGAUAAAUCCAUUGAACCCAUUUGAGAUGGAAGCCAAGCUUAAGUAGGUAAGCCGUCAAAAAGUCUCAUUCCACCCUGUCGUAUGCUUUAUGCAUGUCCAUUUUUAAGAUUGCCAGGAAAUUUUGUCGCGGUUUCCUGAUUUUUAUCUGAUGGAGAAUCUCCUAGACAAUUAGGAUAUUGUCUUGGAUUUGUCGCCCACUAACAAAAGAUGAUUGUUCGGUUGAGAUCAGAUGAGGUAGUACCGGUUUUAGUCGUUUAGCAAGAACUCUAGAAAUAAUUUUGUAGGCGUAAUUACAAAGGCUAAUAGGACGGUAGUGGUCCAAACUUUGAGAGAGAGGUAUCUUUGGUACCAAGGCUACAGCAGUCUUAUUUAGAUCCAAAGGCAUCAAACCUAAAGUAAAAAAAAAUUGAACUGAGAGACUCACCUCAUCUUGUAGGAUAUCCCAGUUGGAUCGAUAAAAUAGGCCAUUUAGUCCAUCAGGCCCCGGGGCCUUGUUCGCACCUAGCUGAAAAGUAGCAGUACAGAUCUCAUCCUUAGUAACCAUGGUUGUGAGGGCAGUAUUCAUUUCAAGUGUUACAAUACAGUGACAUUGAUCAAGUAUUGGUUCAAAGUCACGAGAACCCACUGUGGUAUAUAUAUUGGAGAAGUAAGUCUGAAUCACUUCUUUAAGAGUGGCUUCAUCCCUUACCCAACUCUGUUCAGCGUCCAUAAGCAUCGUAAUGCGAUUCCUUUGUCUCCUUUGGAUGGUGGUGACAUGGAAAAAUUUAGUGUUUUUGUCACCCCAUUUUAACCAGCUGAUCCAUGAUCGCAUAGCCCAAAAUUGCUCCUCUUGCUGCCAAAGCUGCUGAAUAUCUAACUUGAUUUUUGUUGCUUUCUCUUUAUCGUAGGGUAUGUCUGUUUGAUUUGUAGUCUGUUGAAGCAUAUACUGUAGCUCGUCAAUUCUUUGUUUUGCAUUGGAAAAAGUUCGGCGACUCCACGAGGUAAGUGCUAAGCUAACAAAACCAACGUUAGUAGCAUAUUUCCAUGAGUUAGAGAUGAUCUUCCUGCAAUCCGGGUGUUGUAACUAGAAUGCUUCAAAGGUGAAAGGUCUGCAUCAUCUGGUUGUGGGGGCCUCUAUAUUUAGUAGAAGAGGAUUAUGAUCCGAACCUAUCGCUGGUAAGGCACACACCUCAGCUUCUGGGAAAGCGAUUCUCCAAUCCAAGUUGCUCAGAACCCUAUCCAAACGCUCUUUGAUAAUUUCUUCCCCUUGAUGGUUAUUCAUCCAGGUAAAUGCACAUCAUUUACUCUCCAUAUCAAUUAAAGAGCAAUCAUGUAACAUCUCUCUAAAUGAAUUCAUACGAUUAAAGUCAGCUAACUUCUUUCCUACCUUCUCCUAGUGGUAAGUUACCUCGUUGAAAUCACCAACACAUAUCCACAGUGAAGAGUGAGACGUAGCAAUUUGUCGAAGGACAUCCCAGCACUGCUGUCGAAGCCGAAGUACUAUUGGUGCAUGAACACAGGUCACAAGUAUAGGUAUGUGAUUCCCCGAGUCAGUACAUAACAAGUCUAUGAAAUCCUUAUUUGAGUGUAUUACUCUAAUAGAAAUGUGUGCAUGCUAGAAUAUAGCCAAACCCCCCGCCGAGCCAACGGGAUUCACCAAAAAAGAAUUUAUGUAGUUGAGCCUAUUUUGAAUUUUUGUGAGCUUUUCUGAACCGUUCUUAAUCUCCAUCAAAAACAUGAGAUCCAGUCUUUCUUUAACCACUAGGGCCUUGAGAGCCUGAACUGUCGGGGCAGACCCUAUACCCUAAUAGUUCCAACUUAGCAGCUUCAUUUUACUGUUGGUGGCUUUUGAAGACAAGCCACCUCAGCCCCUUUACUGUGCUCUUCAGCCAUAAAUAUUGAUGUAUUGAGUAAUUGAGCCUCAUCAAGAUCUUCUAUUAGAUUUGGUCAUGAUUCGUAAGGGUUAUAACGCUCAGUUUCUUUGUAGUAGAUACUUUUGUUGAGACUCAUGAGUGCUUCACCUUCCUCUAAAAAGGUAUAGGCAAACUUUGUUCUUGAAUCCCUUUCAUCCGUAAUGGAGAAACAAUCAAGGCCCCCAUGGAAGCUGAUGAGGACACAAAGCUUGGGUGAAGAUACUGGUGCUGUUGCUGGUCUUAUGUUUGCUGCCGAGUCUCAAGUGCUACCUGGGGAAUAACUAGUUCCUGUGACUUCCCAUCUAUUUUCUCUUUGUCAGUCAGGUAAGGAACCUUAAUGCCUUUCUAUUUGGGAUUUACAGUGGUCAUAUCAUGUUUAGAUAGAUUGCUAGCUAACCUGCCAUCAGGCUCAAAUUGCAUCGUAGAGAUAAGAGGACCAUUCGCUUCUUUGUUCUCAUUGGGGGGAACAGCUGGAGCCUUAAUGGUCAGAACAGGAAGAGUUUCUGGGACCAUUUCCUCUAUCACAGUGGGUUGUUCUUGGUCACCAUAGAAUGUAAUCCAAUAAGGACUGUGUUCUUUAACCUCAGCACGCAGCCAUUGUCCAUAGGCCAUUUUAUCCUUGCCAGCUAGCUUUGCCUCUGUGAAUGAAAUUUCCAAACAGUACUCUGCAUAGUGGCAUAGGGUGCACAUGACAAAAUUUCUGAAACAGAAAUUGAUUUCUCAAUUUCUAUUUCAAAAACUGAGAAGCUAAAAAUUUUAGCUUCUGAUUUCUUCUUCAAAUCUAUUUCUGGAAUAGAAAUCUGUUUCAGAAAUAGAUAAAUCAAAUUGCGUUACCAAACGGAUUUCUGUUCCAAAUCUGUUCCGGGGAACAGAGAAACAGAGAAAUCAAGAAACAUAAAUUUUAUCAUGCGCAGCCAUAGCCUAUCACAUGACUAGCAAAAAUGUGGGAGUCUCUCAUAUCUGAAAUCUAACCAUAUAGUUUUGCCAUCAAUGCAAAUUAAGUGUCCUAUCUUUAAAGGCAUCUAUAAAUCCAUUUCCACCCUUACUCUACCUGAUCUGAAAUUGGAACCUUCCCUUGAAUCCAUUUUGACCUCUAAUACUCGGCCCACAUGCUUCACAACUUUCCUUAGCAUCUGAUCCGAGGACCACUCAAGCGGUAGGCCGUAAACUUGGACCCAAAAAGCACAAGUCGAAAAGUCAUAACAAUGUAAUAGCGUAUUGGGGAGCCAAGGCUUGAAUAUAACCAAGUGACUAGAGAAUAACCACCGUCCACCCUCUAAUAUUCUAUUCUUGUCUCCUUCAUAUUGAAACAUAGCUACGUAUAAACCAGCAUCACGUUGAGUAAUUUCUACUUGUUCUGUUCUCCAUGCACGUUUAAGGGUAUUUUGGAAUGCCUGGAAAGUUAAUUAUGGAUUAGAGAGAAUUUUACCUACUAAAGUAAGCUUACAUUCCUCGAUCUUCUCCCGUGUCGGCAAAUCAUCCCAAACUUCAAGCUCGUGAGCAGAGCAAAGUCGGCCCAGCCUGGAACAUAGAGCAGCUAGGCGAGAAUCUUCCUCGAAGUCGACUGCUUCCAUAGUACACAAUGCUGGGCAAAGUGCAAAAGAGGCUCAGAUGUAGAUAUCUACUGCAUGUAAUGACUCAGAGAUGGGCCAAUGGUGCGGUCAAAGAUGAAAAAGAACAAUAAAAAAAACCCAGACGAGAUGGGGACGAAAGCGACCCCAAUUGCACUGUCAAAAAGUGCUACAGAAAGAACGAACGAGCUGUAUCGCGAAGGUGCCAGAGUUAUGAGGGACGUUGAAUGGUAGAAUUAGGGGGGAAUUAAGUUAGGAGAUGGAAGAAAAGGAGUUAAGAUUUGCAGGGACAUCGUCACUUUAGGGUUGUUCUGGGAAUUACCAUGGCAGUAGAGAGGGAACUCUACAUUUCGAGAGAAUUUCUUUGUGACUUCAACCAAAGACUACUUUUUCCUCGAACUGAUUAAGAACUUACCACUGUUGGAGAAAUCUUUCCAGAAUAUUUUGAAGCUGACAAAACAUUUCUAUCAGUCUAAGUCUGGAUAUCGAUAGUUAAAGUCUCAAGAUUUUAUAGUCUCAAGACUCUGUUAUCUCAAGACUCAAGACUCAAGACUCAAGACUCAAGACUCAAAGUUAUUCUCACUGACAGUCUUUCUAAUCCAGUGUUGAAGGAAAUCCAAAGUCGAGGUUUAUGAUUGAGGAUUUGAUCCUAUCCUCUGGGAUAGAUUCUUUGGUUGGAUAAUCAUUUCGGAUUCUUUAUAUCUUAUCUAAGAACGAUUGAAGAUCCGAUGGUCGACGAAAUAAUCUUGGAUUAUUCUAUUCUUGGAAACCGAGAUCCUGAUUGUAUGGGCGAACAGGAUUGAUGGGCUAUCAUCAGAUUCCUUAUAUAGCUCGGAUGAUCUUCUUGAUUGAUUCCGUCCAACGGGUAGAUUGGAGGAAUUCCUUUGGUAAGUGCCAACGGCUAUGAUGGCAUGAAGGAGUAUAAAAGGAAGACGUUCUAGUUGUUUUAAGUGUGUGAUCGAUAGAAAAAUUCCAGAGUCUGAAGAUCCUUUGAUUGUUAGUUGAGACUGAGCGAAAUUGUAUACUGAGAGUGUUUAUACUUGGUGACGCCUUGAGCAAGUGUGGUAGAUCAUCUACACCUAGAAAUCAAGGAAGAUCAACACUGUAACAUCUCUUUGAUCAUAGUGGAAUCCAGCCAAUCGGCUGUCAGUGCAGAAGAGUGGACGUAGGCUUGAAUCAAGCCGAACCACUAUAAACUGAGUGUUCAAUUCUCUCUUUCCCUUACUCAGUCUUGCGAUUGAAUUUUCAACUGUUGCAAAGUCUCUAAUUGUUUAAGUAUCGUGCAAACAUCGAGAAAUUUUUUGUGUAUACCUAUUCACCCCCCUCUAGGUACUCAUACUAGCUAUCUCAAUUGGUAUCAGAGCCUGUGUUCUUACUUUGUUUGAAGUGUUUUACUUCAGAGUAAAAGAUCCAUGGCUAGUAUGCUAGCACCGGGGCUGAUGGAGGGGCAAAGCAAUACCAGACCUCCCUACUUCGAUGGAAAGGAUUACAACAUCUGGAAGAACAAGAUGAAAGCUUUCCUACGAUCAAAGGAUCCUCUGGAAUGGGACGUAGUGGAAAAAGGAAUCACUAUUGCUGCUGCAUCAAACACUGAAAGAGGAAAAGAAACCGUUGAAACCAGCGGAAUGUCUCAAGAAGAAAUAAACAAGAGACAAGCACUUGAUGCUAAAGCAAUUUAUUCUUUAUAUUGUGCUUUGUCACCAACUGAAUAUAACAGAAUAUCUUCUUGUGUCACAGCAAAAGAAGUCUGGGACAGGUUACAUAUCACUUAUGAAGGAACAGAUCGAGUGAAGGAGACCAGAAUUAACAUUCUUCUUGGUCAAUAUGAAUCCUUCAAAAUGAAACCAGGAGAAUCUAUAACUGACAUGUUUAGUCGUUUUACAGAUAUUGUCAAUGGUCUUGAGAACCAAGGACAAAAAAUUUCUGAUCCCAUGAAGGUGAACAAGCUUCUACGUGGACUCUCCAAGGAUUGGAAUCAUAUAAAGACUUCAAUAAGAGAGACGCAAAGAAUCAUGCCAUUAUCUGUAGACGAACUGAUUGGAACUCUUCAGUCUUACGAAGUGGAACGAAUUAAUGAAGACGAAGAUCCAAGAGGUAAGAAAUCUAUUGCACUGAAAUCAAAUGAUGAUUCUGAUGAUGCAGAUUCUGAAGAUGAUAUGAAUGAUGAGGAGCUCGCCCUCAUGAUAAGAAGAUUCAGAAAACUGAAUAGAAAAGGCAGAAGGUUUAUCCCAAAGAAACAAAGUUCUCAGAGACAGCAGACCAAGUCUGUUGAUGAUGAGGAACCAAACAAAGAAGUAGUUUGCUUCGAAUGUAAAAAGAAGGGACACAUCAGACCCAACUGUCCUCUUCUGAAAAAGAAAAGAGGAAAAGCUGAGAAAUUUCGAAAAGCUCUUAAAGCCGAAACCUGGAGCGAUACAGAGUGUGAAGAGAGUGAUGAGGAAUAUGCCAACCUGUGUCUAAUGGCGCAAUCAGACUCAGACUCUGGAUCAGACUCAGACAGUGAAUUUGAGGUAAGCAAUUAUAAAAUCCCUGUCAAAGUCUCUAAAUAUAUUAAUGAGUUAUGUUUUAGUCUUAAGACUUCUCUUAAAAGGAUUUCCGAACUUAAAAAGGAAAACUCAGUUUUAAAACAAAAGGAAAUCAUUUUAGAAGAAAAGGUAAAAAAUUUAGACUUGAAUGUUUCUACUCUUAAAGAGAGUGAAGACAAUCUUUCAAAAGAAAAUGCUUUCUUAAAAACUGAUUUAUCAAAUAUUUCAAAGAAAUUUUCAAUAGGGUCCGAAAAACUUGAAAAAGUUCUUUCAAUCCAAAGACCUUACUUUAAUAAGUCGGGUCUAGGUAUGACAGAAGAAACAAUCCCUUUGAUUGAUUUUCCGAAAGUAAAAGAAAGAAUUAAGAAAAGACCAUCGAAAGAGGCUUAUAAAAAUCAUUUCAAAAGAGUUUUUGUAAAGCCUGUAGGUCGAAAUGCUUUAAGGUGUUCUAAGUGUAACAGUCAGGAUCAUUUUGAAAAAGAGUGUCCUAUGGUUUGGAAGCCUGUGAAGAGAGUAUGGCCUAAUAAUGCUUAUCCUACUAACAUGAAAGGACCCAAGAAAAUUUGGGUACCAAAGAAAGCUUGAGACUCUUUUUUGAAUGCAGGUCUCUGUCAAAAAGAAGGUAAAGUGGUAUCUUGACAGCGGAUGUUCAAGACACAUGACAGGAGACUCAGAGUGUUUCAUAAAGCUUAUUAAAGUGAAUGGUGGAAAAGUUUCAUUCGGAGGAAAUAGCAAAGGAAGUAUUGUGGGAUUCGGAAUUGCGAAAAUUGGAAAUCUCACAAUAAGCAAUGUCUCUCUAGUGGAAGGACUCAACUACAAUCUACUCAGCAUUAGCCAAUUGUGUGAUACUGGUUACAAGAUCUUCUUUCAAGAAGGCAUUUGUUCUGGAAUUAGCAAAGAUUCGACUCAGUCUUUCAUGGGUCGAAGGCAUGGAAACAUCUACCUCCUUGAUGUAAAGCCAAAUGAAGAACAAUGCUUAAUUUCAAUUCAAGAUGAAGCAAUUCUAUGGCAUAGAAAGCUUGGCCAUAUCAACAAGAAGCAAUUAGCCAAAAUCUCUUCAAAGCAGCUUGUUAGAGGUCUACCUAAACUGCCAUACCAAAAGUCUGACUUAUGUACUCCAUGCAUUCUGGGAAAGCAGGUAAAAAAUUCAUUUAAACAAAUAAAUCAUGUAUCUACUAAUCAUGUAAUACAGUUGCUUCAUAUGGAUCUCUUCGGACCAACAAGAACCCAGAGCAUUGGAGAUGAAGGCAUCUUCCUUGGAUAUUCUACAUCAAGCAAAGCCUACAGAGUCUACAAUAAAAAAAAGCCAGUCUGUGGAAGAAUCAAUGAAUGUCAAAUUCCAAGACUCAGUGCAAGAUGAAUCCAGCCAGACUCAGUACGAUGAGACUGAAUCCGCUCUAGAUCUUCAAAUGUCUACAUCUCAAGAAGCAUCUCAGAUUCUGGAAGUCCAUCAUCAAGACGAUCAUGGAGAAUCAAAUAAAGAAAGAGAUCAUCAACCUGGUAACUGGAAACACAAAUCCAGUCAUCCCAAAGAUCUUAUUAUUGGCGAACUUAAUGAAGGAAUCCGCACCAGAUCAAAAAGGCAUGAAGAAUCUAGUGCUGUGGCUCUCAUCUCUGAAAUUGAACCAAAAAGCAUAGAAGAAGCUUUAUCUGAUGAAAGCUGGAUCGAAGCUAUGCAAGAAGAGCUUAGACAGUUCAACAUCAAUGAUGUCUGGGAAUUGACAUCUAAACCAAAAGGUAAAACUGUUAUUGGAACCAAAUGGGUAUUCAGGAACAAAAUGAACGAAAAAGGAAAAGUCGUACGAAACAAAGCAAGGCUCGUGGCCAAAGGGUAUACGCAAGAAGAAGGAAUAGACUAUGACGAGACUUACGCACCCGUUGCAAGGUUAGAAGCUAUUCGUCUAUUACUUGCGUUUGCUUGUUACAAAAAUUUCAGGUUAUUCCAAAUGGACGUCAAAAGUGCUUUCCUAAAUGGAUUUAUCCAUGAGGAAGUUUAUGUGGAACAACCGCCUGGAUUUGAAGACCCAAAGAAGCCAGACUCAGUCUUCAGACUGAAAAAGGCUCUGUAUGGUCUAAAGCAAGCACCUCGAGCUUGGUACGACAGAUUAAGUAAGUUUUUAUUACAAAAUGGUUUUGUCAAAGGUAAAGUAGAUACUACUUUGUUUAUCAAAAAGGAAAACAAAAACUUUUUACUUGUUCAAAUAUAUGUUGAUGACAUUAUUUUUGGAUCUUCUAAUGAAAGUCUUUGCAAGAAAUUUUCUAAGUCUAUGCAGGAUGAAUUUGAAAUGAGUAUGAUGGGAGAAUUAACAUUCUUUCUUGGACUCCAAGUGAAACAAAUGAAGGAAGGAACUUUCAUCCAUCAAGAAAAAUAUGCGAAUGAUCUUGUCAAAAGGUUUGGAUUGGAAAAAUGCAAAAAGAUCGACAUACCAAUGUCAUGUUCUCAGAAGAUAGACAAGGAUGAAGAAGGGAAGAAAAUAGAUCAAAAGCUGUACAGAAGCAUGAUCGGUUCACUUCUUUAUCUUACUGCUUCUAGACCUGAUAUUUUGUUCAGUGUUUGUAUCUGUGCUAGGUUUCAAUCAGAUCCUAGAGAAUCACAUCUCAGUGCCGUGAAACGAAUUAUCAAAUACGUUGCUUCAUCUUCAAGCAUCGGUCUUUGGUAUCCAAAGAAGGGAGACUUUAAUCUUCUAGGAUACUCAGAUGCAGAUCUGGCCGGUUGCAGAAUCGAUAGAAAGAGCACUUCUGGAACUUGUCAACUACUUGGAAACAGAACGGUGUCUUGGUUUUCGAGGAAACAAAGCACUGUAGCUCUUUCAACAACAGAAGCAGAGUAUGUAGCUCUUGGAAGCUGCUGUUCGCAAAUUCUAUGGAUAAAACAACAGCUACAAGACUUUGGCAUUGAAGACUCAUGCACAGAAAUCAGAUGUGACAACACCAGUGCUAUAAAUCUCACCAAAAAUCCAAUCCUUCAUUCAAGAGCAAAGCAUAUUGAGAUUCGACAUCACUUUAUUAGAGAUCAUAUUCAAAAUGGAGAAAUCUCGAUUCAAUUUGUUGAUUCAAAAAGUCAACUAGCAGACAUAUUCACAAAGCCUUUGGAGAAGAAUCAGUUUGACUUUAUCCGCUCAAGACUCAACAUUUUGAAGCUUGAAGAAGUUAAAGUCUAGAGACUCACCAACUCUAAAGACUCUGAUCUCUUAGACUCUAAGUCCUGAGACUCAGACAUUCGUGGAUAAAGACUGUAAGUUGUAUUUCUUCUAAAAGGUACUAAUUGUCAUUUAGUCGAAAAGGUACGAUCUUUUGUUUAAUAAUUUUGGCAGUUAUAGAUUUUGAAAAGAAGUAAUCGUUCACUUUCCAUUGCACCGAUUGAACUUCCCUUUUCAAAAACUAAGUUAUAUAUACAGUUUUUCCCCAAAUCUUCAAAACCCUAAAAAGCACUCUUCUCUCUAUACUGUUUCUACUCUUUGUUCAUCGUCGAGAAAGUGGUCAUUUUUCUUGGGAAAGCAAGUGAAGGAAUCCUCCAAUAGACAAAGAAAGAUGUCGUCUUCAAGGAAAUCAUCAAGAAUCGCGAACAGGGGACCACAAAGAAUGAAGAAGGGACCGACUCAUUUCGAUCUCACUGAGGAAGAAGACUUAUCUGGUCAGCGACAAAGUCCGAUUCGCUCUCCUCCACGUCAUUCAGCAUCUCCUGCCCCACAAAGUGAAAGUCAUAAUCUGGAAGAAGAGAUAAUCGAGGAUGCCGACCCAGUAAGAGUUCAAAAGCCUUCCUUUUUGUAUAAACUUUAUUGUGCAUUGAAAAGCACAGGUACUCCAUUGAACUACAUAGAUGACUUCCUUAAGGACAAAAAUUAUGGGAAUGAGUAUCUUUUUCUGAAGAAAAUGGAGGAAUGGGGAAUUGCCCCAAAAGGAAAAGCAGAGGAAGCUCUUGCGAACAUUCCAAGAGAUCCUCGUAUGCCAGGACAAAAUCUGAUUGACGCGAAUGAUGAUGACAAAAUGUUCCUUGAAUUUGAACCUAGAAUGGGUGUGGCGGCAAAGGCGAAAGGAAAUCGGAUGGAUUUGUUUAAAUCCAAGGAUCAAGAAAAAGUGUAUUACAGUCUGUUGAAAAGAGGGGUAAUCAACCCUAGAAGUGUCGAUUUUGACUUCCUGGAUUCCAUCAACUUGAACCUAAGAGAGAAGUUGAAUUUGCUUCAACUUGAGACUUUCUGCUCUGACUCUACAGACGGGUAUGAUCAUCUGACUGCUUAUUUCUAUUCAAAUCUUAGCUUUUUUGAUGCGAAUAGAAUUUCAUUCAGUGUUCGAGACAAAGUCUAUGUGGUAGAUGUGAAUAUGUUGGCAGACAUAGUUGGAGUUGAACGGGGACGCUAUCUCCCAAUUAAAGUCUCACCUGCUCGAACUACUCUGGAUCUUGUCAAAGAUAGGGAUGUAGAUAAGAAAAUUAUCUAUUCCAGAAUGAACGCUAUCAACAUUGUGCUUCACAAGAUUGUGAUCAAUUGUCUAAGACCUAAGUCUACUUCAAAGACUUCUGUGUCUCUUUCUGAAGCAAAGUUGAUGUAUGCGAUCAACUCAGGACGGAAGUUCUCUCUCCCGCACACUAUUCUUUUCCAUAUGUACAGAACUGUGUCAAAAGACAAAGGACAAUUGCCUUAUCCUGGUCUGGUGACCAAGAUCUUCAGACAUCUGAAUAUUGAACUGCCACAUACUUUUUGUGUUCGACCGUGUGAUAAGAUGGUGGUAGGGUUGAAAAUGUUAAUGAAGAUGCGUCUGCAAGAACUUUCUAAGGCAAUGGAGAAAUUCAAAGUGAAAUCUCCAGUCCAGUCUGCUUCAAAAGGAAAAGGAAAGAAGGCAUUUAGUGCUUCUUCGAAAAAGAGGAAAAGAAUUCUUAUCCUGGAGGAUGAGGAUGAAGAUGAAGAUGAUGAAGAUCCCACUAUUCCAGCACUGACAAGAACAAGACGUUCUGUGUCUUAUUCGACAGAACUUCAGCAGAGCAGAGAAGAAGAAGAACAGAGAGAGAAGGAGAAAGAAGUUGAGGAAGAAAAAGAAGAAGUAAAAGAUCAGUCUGCUGAUAAAUCUGGAGAGAAGGGAAAUCAAGAGAUUGAUCAUCACUCUUCUCCUUUCGAUGUCCUAGAGACAGGGGGAGUUAGCGAGCAAGAGAGGUCUCCACCUCAUGCUGCUGAAGAUCAAAGAAAAUCUCCAGAAGACCCAGAAGAAGCUCAGGUCUCUCAAUUGCCUGAAGAAGAUGAUACGACGAUUCCAAAUCUGCAAGACCGUUCAGAAGCGCCAUCGUCUGCACACACACCAUCUGAGAAAGCCAAUGCCAGUACACAGACGGAUGAUUCUGUAGAUCUUCGUAGUAUCAUGAAUAUUCUUCUGGAAAUGCGUAACCAGAUAUAUAUUCUGGAUUGUGAAAUCCAAGUCUUGAAGCAUGCUGGACAAGCAUCUUCAGUCUCUCUGGAAGAAAAAUACAAAGACCUCGCUCUACAACUUCAAGCCAAUGCCAAGAGAGAAGAGGUAGCUCAUCUGCGAGAAGAUCUGAAGAAGCUCGAAGGAGUAGUCCAGUCCAUUGGGGAUUUCCAGAUCGUGCGCAUUCCCAAGCAGACAUGACUCCUUUCUCACCCUCUUUUUAAUGAUGACAAAAAGGGGGAGAACCAAUUUGAACAAACAUUAUUUUAAAACUUUAUUUGACUUUUGUGGUUAUGUUUAUUUUUGAGUAUGACUUGAGAACUUGAACUUGAGUGUUAGACUGAAUUGGUUGUGGAUUUUGAUGCUUGACUGGUUGCAUUUAUAUCAAGUAUUGUUACAUGGUAUUACUCAUGAAAGACUAACCAAUUUGCUGUGGAUGCAGAGUCUGGUUGUUUAUUAAUCUUUAUGAGUUAGCCAUAUUGCUUGAGAAAUGUUUUUGCAGGUCAAAGUUGUUCAAAUCUUCAAGAAAGUUUUGUCACCAUCAAAAAGGGGGAGAUUGUUGGAGAAAUCUUUCCAGAAUAUUUUGAAGCUGACAAAACAUUUCUAUCAGUCUAAGUCUGGAUAUCGAUAGUUAAAGUCUCAAGAUUUUAUAGUCUCAAGACUCUGUUAUCUCAAGACUCAAGACUCAAGACUCAAGACUCAAGACUCAAAGUUAUUCUCACUGACAGUCUUUCUAAUCCAGUGUUGAAGGAAAUCCAAAGUCGAGGUUUAUGAUUGAGGAUUUGAUCCUAUCCUCUGGGAUAGAUUCUUUGGUUGGAUAAUCAUUUCGGAUUCUUUAUAUCUUAUCUAAGAACGAUUGAAGAUCCGAUGGUCGACGAAAUAAUCUUGGAUUAUUCUAUUCUUGGAAACCGAGAUCCUGAUUGUAUGGGCGAACAGGAUUGAUGGGCUAUCAUCAGAUUCCUUAUAUAGCUCGGAUGAUCUUCUUGAUUGAUUCCGUCCAACGGGUAGAUUGGAGGAAUUCCUUUGGUAAGUGCCAACGGCUAUGAUGGCAUGAAGGAGUAUAAAAGGAAGACGUUCUAGUUGUUUUAAGUGUGUGAUCGAUAGAAAAAUUCCAGAGUCUGAAGAUCCUUUGAUUGUUAGUUGAGACUGAGCGAAAUUGUAUACUGAGAGUGUUUAUACUUGGUGACGCCUUGAGCAAGUGUGGUAGAUCAUCUACACCUAGAAAUCAAGGAAGAUCAACACUGUAACAUCUCUUUGAUCAUAGUGGAAUCCAGCCAAUCGGCUGUCAGUGCAGAAGAGUGGACGUAGGCUUGAAUCAAGCCGAACCACUAUAAACUGAGUGUUCAAUUCUCUCUUUCCCUUACUCAGUCUUGCGAUUGAAUUUUCAACUGUUGCAAAGUCUCUAAUUGUUUAAGUAUCGUGCAAACAUCGAGAAAUUUUUUGUGUAUACCUAUUCACCCCCCUCUAGGUACUCAUACUAGCUAUCUCAACCACCAACCUAAAUGUACAUAGUAGUCAAAACCUUCUCGCUGUGUGAAUCCUUUGGCCACCAAUCGUGCCUUAUAUCUCUCUAUAGAACCAUUUGCCCUGUACUUGAUCUUGAAAACCCACUUACAUCCAAUGGGUUUGUCACGCCCCGAUCCUCGGACGCGCGCACAUCCUUCAACUUGGUCGAUUUUAUAUGGCUCUGUAGAUAAGGAAUGAAUCCUUUAUAAUGUUUAAUGACUGAUCUGAUUGAAUAAUAUCAAUCCAUUCUUCAACAAAAAUAUAUAAUUUUAUCAAAUGAUGUGGAUUUUUCUAUUAUUCGGCUCUGUGUACUAUAAUUAAUGAAUGCAAACCGCCCUAUGCAUGUGUAUUAAUUAUAAAGAAUUGUAUAAGACUCCUUUAUAAAAUGGUGAGCAAAAUCCUAAGAUUGUUUCAAGUGAGAAACAUUGGGAUCCGUAUAUGACUCUGCCAUAACUAAAAGUGUAUAUUUCAUCCAAUUCAAUGGGUACUAUAUGAUUUUGUUAAUUCUCAAUAUAAAUGUUUGUCUGAUAUUUUGUAGAGCUAUCGAGUUCUUCAACUAAGUUGAUCUGUCUUGAAUUGAUGCAAAAUCACUAAAUAUAUCGAAGAGAGGAGUUUAUAUGUAAUUAUAAAUUUGAACCAUAUCAUUCGUCGAGUUUUUUAUACUUGAAAGCGUAAGGAGAGGUAACUAGCAUAAUGACCUCCUUUGAACGUAACCCACGCGCGAUUAUAAAUUUGGUCUGUCAAGUUAUCAACUUUAAGUCAGUUUAGGCGGAUUUUAUUUUUCUGACGUGGAAUAUAACAUACUUAUCAUUUACAAACAUUUUGUUUAACAUACUUAUCAUUUACAAACACUCUCGUAUAACUUGUUUAACAGUAUCUUAAUAAUUACUAACAUCAAGCUUAGAUACGGUAUCACCAAACAUUUCACUAAACUAGUCAUGAAUUCUAAAGUUUGAUAGUUUAGAAUUCAGGUAGGGAAUGCUGGUAGAUAAAACUGAUUUAAUGAUAAAACAUCAACCUGACUCAAAGUAACAAGUAUUAUUCACCAAUGAGAGACUUUUCUUAUGCCAUUUACUGUAUGAAAUGACGUAAAUAAGCAAUAAGCGAUAAUCUUUACUGGAUUUCAUGCAUGACAAUUCUUCCAUUCUUAUAAAUAACAAAUCUACAUAUGAAGAGGGAAAGAGGUGAGGAAAAGGAAGAAAAAGAUUAUUUUGCUCUUCAUGGACAACAGGCGAAAGGAUGGGGAAAGUGAAGCUCUUUAUACGGACAGAAGUUAUUGAGCUCAUGUAAGGGAAAUGCCACAAAUGGUCCUUAAACUUUCAUCUAAUGUUCAAUUUCAUCCAUAAGCUUUUGAUUUGCUCAAUUUGAUCCAUGAACUUUCAUCUAAUGUUUCAUCUAGUCCCUAACUAUUUGAAAAUUGACCAAUUUCCUUUUUUUCUUUUUAGUACCAAACUGUUUUUUAUACAUAAAAAAAAAAAUACCAAACUGGUUUUUUUUUUAUUUAUAAAAAAACAGUUUGGUAUUAAAAAAAAUGAAAAUUGGUCAAUUUUCAAAUAGUUAGGGAUUAGAUGGUAUAUUAGAUGAAGUUCGGGGAACAAAUUAAGCAAAUUGAAGCUCAUGGAUGAAAUUGAAUAUUAGAUGAAAGUUCAAGGAACAAAUUGAGCAAAUUGAAAGCUUAGGGAUGAAAUUGAAUAUUAAAUGAAAGUUCAGGAACUAUUUGUGACAUUUUUUCUCAUGCAAUCAUAACUUCAGAAAAGGAGGAAAAAAAAAAGAUAUACUGAGAGAUUUCUAGUUUGAAGAGAACAUGUGGCCACCUGCUUUGAUGGGAGCCAAACAAGCCUUCUUUGGAGCGUUCCACUUUCAUCGACUCCAAUUUGGCCCCGGCUUGUAUCAUCCACACGAGAGGGAAAGUAAACUCUUUGGCUGAAGCAAAAGGUCAGGUGGACUUCUGUCAUUGGUUGAAUCGACAUCAUAAUUGAGUGAAAGUUUUCCAUCGAAAGGGAAUUAUAAUUAUCUUGUGAUGUACAUAAUAAUUGAGUGAAAGAAUAUUGUCAUUAUCUCAAGCAGAAUGGCCGGUCCAUGUUAUCCGUUAUCUCGUGGAAGCACGUUACCAUUAUCAUUGCCAUGAGGGGUGAUCAAUUUUAGGAUUGAUAAGUUUCAGAUCUAGAAUAUAGAACCUACCUUAUUAAAAUUGGUUCCUAGUUUUUAAGAUCCAAGAAUUAUUUUGUUUGUCCUAGAACCUACCUUAUUUUUCCGAUCCAAAUCUAGGGUUUAACCAGAUAACUAGUUUGUUUUUUUUUUAUUCAAUUUUUCUAAAAACCGAAACAAAUAGCAAUUACAACAAGAUAGUAUGAGUAACAAAACUGUUCAAAGUAAAAUAUCAUACAAAACAAAUAAAAAUAUAAAGUAAUGUGGAAGUUAUUUUAAUAAAGAUAAUUCAUCUUCUUCCAACUUCAUGAAACAACUUCUAAUCGCCGGUUCCAGAGUGGGUGGGUGGGUUCAGCACCUAGAACUUGAAGCUUAUCAAUGUAGUUCCUGUUCUAAAUUUUGAACUAGGAACUGGACCUGUUUCCAUGGUCGAUUGGUCCGAUUCUUGGGUAGAAUCGGACCGGUUGCAUAGCCCUAAUUGUCAUUAAAAUUCAUGGAAUGUUUAGUUCACGACUUCUUUUACGUUCUUGGGAUUUUGGAUACAUAUUGUUUAAUGUUGGUUAACAGUAUUACCUAGAGGGGUGAAUAGGUGAUUUCAAUAAAUUUGACAAAAUAUUGCAGAAUGAAGACAGUGAAGUUUGAUAUAUGCUAAACCGGGUGCAACAAAGUGUUGAUAUAAGCAAGAUCUGGUUACAUCAAGAAAUUUAGUGUAGUGCUACCAUCAAGCAAUAAAUGACCAUAGACAAGUAGAUAGAAAACUAAGCAAAAAAAGCUUAUAGUGGUUCGGCUUGGUGUAAGCCUAUGUCAAUUAUCAAUACUAACAUAUUACUGGCUAGAUUCUACUUGUCAAUUGUUGAGAAAUUAUAGUCGAAUGUGCUGCUUGUACUUAAGACUUCUUCUCGAAGCCGAUGCUACUUAUAUCCAAGCUUAUAGAUCUCAUAAUCUCACACCUACGAGCAAACUUUCACACUCCUAACAACUACAAUGUUAAAGCUCACAGAAUACAAUAGAAAAAAGAAUGUAAAGCUCUCUUGAAAUUUGGAAUUAUUAACUCUUGAUAAAUUUCUCUCUCUAACGCCUUGGGCUUCUUCUAUUCUCCUCAGUAUCAUCUUUCAAUUGGAUAAUCUUCAAGAGGAUCAAUCUUCAAUAUAGCCAUUGGACAACUAUUGAGAAGAUUAAGGUAGCCGUUGAGAUCAAUUAAUCAAAAUUUCCGUACACUUAGUCGCCCAUACAAUCAAAUCUUAGUUUCCAAAAGUGGAGUACUUCUGCUAAGGAAAGUAUCUUGCCUUCAAGAUGAAUGCGAUUGGUCAAGAUAUAUCACACAAUUUGACUUAUUCUGCGUAGAUAAUCAUUAGAUUGAUGGUCAAUCAAAAUCUUCUAAUUUAGGAAUCCAUAUAAGAUCAUAAGCUGUCAAAGCAUGAGAUGAAAUAUCUCUGAAAAGUGUGACAAAAUUAUCGUUUCAAGUAAUAUAAGUUGUCCACUUAUAUCCAUGGUCACUAGCUAUAUAGUGAAGUGACAUCAGGCUUUCACCGGGCUUCUGAUUAUAUUAAGUUAUCAUAGUACUAUGCUGAUAUCCAACUCUGAUUAUAUUUGGCUUCCCGAUUAUAUUCAACUAUUCUUCUCGGAACGCUUCAAGAGUGGUAGUGAUAUAGAUCCUGUAAACUUAACACCUUCGCAUUUCUAAGUUUAUAUAUAAACUCCCUAUAGGUUCUUCUAGUCAAUUAGAGUCUUUUUACUAAUCAUAUUAAAGGUCCUGUUGACACGGAUAUUACUUGAAACACAAACAACUCUUGCAUUUAUCAAGAUUAAUAUAAGUUAUGGAUAGUUUUGUCAACUCUAAAAUAUAUUAAGAGUUUUUAUCAACAAUGUCUUUGGAUAAAUAAGCAAGGAACCAUCUUAAUAUGUAUAUUUGCACAUUUUGACCCAAGAUUUGCUGCGUUGGGGAGCGAGAGUGGGUUUUGCGAAACAAUCGAUUUGAUUAGUUAGUUGAACUAAAUGUUCAACGUCAUGUGUUAAUGAAGUCUGCUGAUGUGGGUACCGACCUCAUAAAAUUAACGUCAGAUGGAGAAAAUUUUACAAGUUUCAUGUAUGUAGUUAUUCGCUUGAUCUAGAUGUACUCACUUUGGAUAGACUUUUUUCUUUUUCGGUUUAGCUACUAUAAACAGAAUUCUCAUCCACAUAACCUAAGCUACGACCAGCGAUUCUAGAAUUAUUUCAUAGAAACUCAAAAAAUGGCAAGAAGAACAAAAAAAACCUCUGCUUUUAACGGGCAUGGAGAAUUUACUUCAAAAAAUGGCAAGAAGAACAAAAAAAUAACGUUACUUAAAUUUUUUUUAGUUUCUCAUGGCUCUCACAAUUUAAAAUUUUUUAAUAUUAAACAUCUGAGAUCUAGGUCAACAUACUAGAAUGUCCUAUACAUGUACUAAUCAUUUUUCGAAGCUUAAAACACCUGGGGCAUGCAUGGUUGCACUUUUAUUUUUUGUUUAUGAACAGACUUUCUGUUUUUUUUUUGUUCCCGGGAACAAAAAAAGAACAGAAACGCGUUUGUUUGCAUUUUUGUUCUAAAUCUUUUUUUUAUUCCCAGGAACAAAUUUGUUCCAGAAACAAGAAACAAAAAAAACUUGUUUCUUGUUUCUGGAACAAUUUUUAAGAACAAAUUUUAUCUCUCCUUUCUUUUCUUCUCUUUUUUUUCUUCUUCUUUUCUCUUUGGCCGGUCGCCAACCUUGGCCAUGGCCGGCGACUAGCCGUCGAGGGCCGGCGAACUCAUCGGAGGAUUGCCAGCCCCCGAUGAGGUCGAGCGUCGCCGACCCCUGGCGAGGCUCGACCUCGCCUUGGUUAGGCGAGCUCAACUCGCCCAAAUUCGUCGAGGCCAAGCUUGCCCAACCACCAACAAGGCUCAGCAUUGUCGAGCCAUUGCUAGGUCAACGUCGCUUGGCAGUGGCCCAAUGAGGCUAAGCCUCGUCGGUGGCUGGGCGAGCUUGGCCUCGUUGGUGGCUAGGCAAGCUUGGCCUCAUCGAAUCUGAGCGAGGCCGAGCUCGCCCAACCAAGGUGAGGCAGAGCUUGCCUUGCCACCGGCGAGGCUCGACCUCACCAAGCCACCGCUAGGUGACUCGUGGCUGGGCAAGCUUGGCCUCACUGGAUCUAGGUGAGCCUCGCCCAACCACGGCGAGGCUCGGCCCCUCGGCGAGGCCGAGCCUCGCCGUGGUUGGGCGAGGCCAUCGGCCGAUCGCCGGCCAAAAAAAGAAAGAAAAGAAGGAAAAAUAAAAUAAAAAAAUAAAAAAAUAAAGAAAAAAAGGAAAAUUAAAAAAUUAAAAGAAACAAAAAGGAACACAAAUUUACCAAACAUAUUUCUAUUUUUUUAUUUCUGGAAUAAAUUUAUCAAAUGCGUUUUUCUAAUCAAAAAUUGUUCCUCAGAAAUAGAAAAAGAAAAUUCUAUUUAUGUUCCCUAAAGUACUUUUUGAACAAAAAUACAAAGAAACGUGCCCCUACUUGAUUUCAAAUUUUGCAAGGAAAUUGGUAAACCAUUUUAAGUACAAUUAAUUAAUCUAUUAAUUGAAGUGUUCUGAAAGUUUAUUUCUCUCCUAGGACAGAACGUGAAUCACGAACCACAAAAAUUGACAAAUGUGCAGGAACUCACCAACAAAUAUUCAAUCAGUCAAUUUUGAAUGAAGAGACAAGAGUUGUACAUCAAGUGUAGGACACCCAAGUGAUUCAACUUUCUGCCAAAAUCUUUUAGGACAGAACGUGAAUCACGAACCACAUAAUUUCCUGCAAGCUCAGAUAAUUGUGUGGGAACCUGAAGAAAAAGGGCAAAAGAAGAAAAUGAGUCCGUCUCAUAGGCAUCCGAUCCGUCAAUUUUGAAUGAAUAGCCGAGAGCUGUACAUCAAGUGUAGGACACCAACGUGACUCUUAACAUCCUGCCCAAAUCUUUUAGGACAGAACGUGAAUCGAGAACCACAUGAUUUCAUACAAGUUCAGAUAAUUGUGUGGGGACACGGACAUUGAAGUAAAAGGCACAAGAAGAAAUGAGUACGCGUGAUAGAGAUCCGAUCAGUCAAAUUUUGAAUGAAGAGACGGGAGCUGUACAUCAAGUGUAGGACGCCAAUGUGACUCAACUUUCUGCCAAAGUCUUUUAGGACAGAACGUGAAUCACGAACCACAUGAUUUCGUACAAGCUCCGAUAAUUGUGCAGGGACCUGAAGAAAAAGGGCAAAAUAAGAAAUGAGUUCGUGUGAUAGACAUCCGAUUGGUCAAAUUUUGAAUGAAGAGACGAGGGUUGUACAUCGAGUGUAGGACAAAAACGUGACUCUCAAUUUUUGCCAAAAUCUUCUAGGAGAGAACGUGAAUCACGAACUACGUGAUUUCGUGGAAGUUCAGAUAAUUAUGUGGGGACCUUGAAGAAAAAGGCCAAAAGAAGAAAAUGAGUCGGUGUAAGUUUAUUUCUCUACUGUCGGUAGAAUAAUUGACAAAUGUGCAGGAACUCACCAAAUGUGUUUUCAUGUAAGUUUAUUUCUCUAAUAUUGGUAGAAUAUGGCUCUGUUUAGUAACACUCUAAACGGUGUCUUAACUUUAUUUUUUUAUUCCUCAAAACAAAACAAAACAAAAAACAGAAAUUCAUUUGAAAUAAAUUUGAAACAAAAUCAAGAAAUAAAAAAAAAAAAUUACAUUCUUAUUUCUAAGAAUAAUUCCAGAAUCAAGCCAAUUUUUCUUUUUUUGUUCUCUUCUCUUUUCUUCUCUUUCUUAUUCUUCUUCUUCUUCUUCUUUUGCUUUUUGGCGGGUUGUCGGUUUUAGCCAUGGCCGGCGACCAGCCAAAUGAGGGCUGGUAACACUCCCUAAGGCUCGGGCCGCCGAGCCUCAUGCCUGCAACACUUUUGCAACUAGAGGAAGGAGAAGAUGAAAAGGGAAAAAGAAGAAAAAAAAGAAUAAGGAGAAAAUUUUAAUAAAAUUAUUAAAAGAUUAAAAGAAAAUUAUUUUGACUAAAAAUUUUAAAUAUUUUUUUAAACACAUUUCUAUUUCAGAAAUAAAAUUUUUAGACAGUUUACUAAGUGUCUUGAAAUGCUUAAAAAUUAUUUUUAAAAAUAAAUUUAAAAAUUAUCUCUGAGUAAAAAUCGUUUUUGGGAAUAAAUUGAUUACUAAACGGAUUCUAAUCUAUAAAUGUGCAUGGACUCAUCAACAGACAUCCGAUCAGUCAAUUUUGAAUGAAAAGACGAGCUGUACAUCAAGUGUAGGACAUCAAACUUUCCGCCAACGUCUUUUGGGACAGAAUAUGAAUCACGAACCACGUGAUUGCUUGCAAGUUCAGAUAAUUGUUUGGGGACCUUGAAGAAAAAAGGCAAAAGAAGAAAAUGAGUCAGGCUUAAGGAUUGUGGCAUUGCUUUUUUGGACGGUCACUUCUUGGCACAAAUUGCCUUGGUUGGACGCAGACAUGCCUUCAUGGAGUGUCCACCCGAUACUACCUCCGAUCUGGCUUUGGCUUUGUAUCAUCCAUGGGAAAGGGAAAGUGAACUCUUUGGCUAAAGCAAGCAUUUCCAUUUCUUUGGCUAAAGCAAACAUUUUGGUGAAAUGUUGUCAUUGCUUGCAUUAUUAUAUCACAAUUGGGUGAAAGGACAUUGUCAUCAUCUUGGUUGAAUAAAAACCAUGGCAUUUAGCUUCAUUCCAGAUCCGGGAAACAAAUGGAACAUCCAAGGCUUCAUCGUAUACUCGUUUCAGGUCUUUCGGAAGCUUUGGCUUCGAAUCAUUUAUGCUUUGGCUAACGACUUAAUUUGAACCAUGGUAUUAAUAGGGUGUAUGUGGACUCCGAAUUUUCCUUUCUAAGACAGACCUUCUCAUGAUGAGUAUUUUAAAUGCUAAGAUAAACUUUUCUAAGGUAGGAUUUUAAAUGUUUAGUAUUUAAUAGUAUUCUUUCUCAAAUUCACUUCAUGUUAAACAACUCAAAUGUCACAUUUGUCCUUGAGUAUGUGCAUCGUGAAUAUAAAACCCCACGGAGAUACAGAAGGGCCGCGCCACCAUCACUACCUUUAGAAUCUAUAUACGUUCAGGGAAAUAUUUCAAAAAGGGACCAAAGUACUUUCAUUUUCUCAAAUAAUGGCUCGAAGUGAAUCUUGUUUCAAAUAAGGACCUGAAGUGCCAUCACUUUCUCAAAUAAAGACCUGAAGUGAAUAUUCUUUCAAAUGAGGACUUGAAAUAGUUAUAUUAUUUCAAAUAAGGACCUGAUUUUUCUAACAGUCAAGAGUCUUUUCGUCAAUUGCCAUUUUCUAUAUUUUUUUUUUUCAAUUCUUCUUCGGCCGAUGCCCAUAGAGGGUUGGGUGAGGGUCGCCCUCGCCGGCAAGGGCCACUCACACUGGCUACAAUCGAGGGAUGACCUCGCCUGGGCGUGGCAACCCUCGCCUAAGUGCCAUUUACGAGGUCAGCCCUUGCUGGCCCCAGGCAUGAGGGUCAGCCUCACCCGCAGCCAGCGAGGGCUCUAGCAAGGAUGACCUUGCUCGCGGUCGGCAAGGGUUGGUAGACCCUCACCGGCCCUUACAAAUAGCCGCGAGUGAGGCCACCCCAUGGGGAGGGUCAGCCUUGCCUGGGGCAGGCAAGAGCCGACUCGCGAAUGGCCCCCGGGCAAGGCCGUCCCUCACUUGUGGCUAGCAUGGGUGGCCCUCGCUGAUGAGGGCGACCCUUGCCUGGCCCUCUAUAAGCAUCGCACUCGCCUAGCCCUCUAUAAGCAUGGGUGGCCGGUCGGCCACCGGCAAAGAGGAAGAAGAAAAAACUAGAAAAAAAAAAGGAAAAUGCCAAAUGGCGAAAAUACCCUUGAUCGAUCGGAAAAUUUAGUCGGCUGGUGACCAGUGAGGUCAGGUCCUUAUUUGAGACAACCAAAGUCACUUCAGGCUCUUAUUUGAAACAAUCAAGGCCACUUCAGGUCCUUGUUUAAAAUAAAGUCAACUUCAAAUCUUUAUUUGAGAAAAUAAAGGUACUUUUGGUUCUUUUUUGAAAUUUUCUGUAUGUUCAGAGUGCAAGGCUAAGUGUCCUCAUUUGAUUAGGAAGAAGGAAGAUUAAGCACUCUGAGCUUUCAUUGACUCGAUGAUAUGGUCUUUGUCCCAUAAUAUUAUUUUAUUUGAAGCAUGAUAUACGUUUUUAAGGAGUUAUUUACCCUCACAACAUUGCUAAUGGCAACUAACAAAAAUCUUCUAAAAUACAAUAAAAUCUCAAAUGAAAAUACCAUAUAGAAAUUCAAGUACAUCUCCAAAAACUCUCAAAAGAAAAUAAUUAAAAAGAAAGCUGUAUCUUUAUAAGGAAAACUCGACAAGACUUUUUUUUUUCCUUUUUGGUAAAGACUUGAUAAUCAUUAAGACCAAAAAAUGAACUUAUUUAUCAUAGCCUUUUUGAACACAAGCAAUCCUUUCAAAAAGGUUACAAAGUGAACAAAUAAGUCCCUAUGCAAAGUGAACAAAUAAGUCCUUAAAAGACACGUUGAAAAAUCAAAUGACGAUGAUAAUAAUAAUAUAAUAUUUUAUUUCAAAUUUCAUAAAUUCUGUAAAAUAUCAAUUGAACAAAUAGAACUCUUCAAAUGUCAUGACACGCCUAAUUAAAAUUAGCAAAAUAACCACACGAAAAGAAAUAAAUGAUUAUUGACACUAAUUAUGAUCGGGGAGCGUGUAAAGUACUAGUUGCGCACUCACAUGUAGGUAUUAUGGGGCCUAGCCCAGAGCCAAUUGUCUUAAUUUGAACAAGUUAGAAGACUUCCACACUUAUGGAAUGGCCUAAUUACUCCAAACUUUUCUAUGGGUGAUAAGGAAAAGUAAUAUUUUGUUUGUUUUACCCACAAAAAAAAAAAAAAACCAACAAUAUAGUUAUGCCCGGUAGUGCCCAAAUAUUAACUUGUAUGUAUUUAGACUAAAUUCUCUCUUAUUCCCACUGACUUAACUACACAUUCAUUAUGUUUGUGACUCUUUUGUUUGUCUAAUGCCAUAUGUUGGAGAAGACAGGGUGGAAGUUUGCAUGGCUAAGAAGCUAUAUGCAGAAACUCACCUAGCAAUAGCAAAGGAUGACACUGCAAGGAAGUAAUUAGAAUAAAGUUCUUGUGUCAUUAUUUUACUUGUCAACGUUGUCAUUAAUGAGAAUCAAGGAUUCAAUCCCAUUUGUGUCCGGUCAUACCAGUAAUUACACUUAGGCUAUACACAAAAAUUGGGUCUUAAUUACAUGUCCCCAUAUUUCUAUGCGGGUCCCAUUCACUAUACUUUUUCGAAAGAAGAAACUAUCAUUCAUAUAUUAGAUUUUGAAAAUCGGUUGAGCUAAAUGAUAUUGCUUGUAAAUAUGGGUAAGGAGAGUCGGAGACACCUCAAUGUCCUCAUUGUGAAUUAAUUAUAUCGAUGGUUGCUAGUGGUUUCGAGUAUUUAAUGGGGUUUGGAGUCUGAGAAAAAGCACAACUGACCACAACAAUGUAUGAACAAUGUACGUGUCCCGUGAUCCCGGAUUCAGGCUAAAAGUCUUGAGUCUUUGUCUGUAUUGUUGGACUUGGAGCUAUGCUUCAAUUUAUUUUACAGAGACCACAAACAAAUCUUUUUGUCAUUGUAUUCCCCAGGGCUCUAAAUUCAUUUAUUUAUCAAAACAUGUCACGUAAUUCACCAUUAAAAAAAAAAACUUAAUUUCGUUUCAUUAAGAAUACAGAAAAGUAGGGUCCCUUUUUCUAGAUGUUUUGCCCAAGCUCUCGUGAUGGCACGACCGUGAACGGUAUAAUAGACGAAGAGGAUGAAUAAAGGAAAAUUGAGAACCGGACAUUUUUUCUUAGCUCUUAAGAAGCACAAGGAGAGCGGGGAUAACAGUAAUGCUAGAAGAUGAUGAAGCAUUUUAUGAUGGGCAACAUCUACGGAUGGGCGUCUCUUCGCAUUUAUUUAUUUAUUUAUUUUUCGGAUCUAUAGAAUAAAUCGAAUAUCUCAAACUUUGUCAUACUGAACCUCCAAUUUCACGUCUUUUUUAUUCUAUUUGCGCCCCUUAGAAAGAAAACAGUGAAUUACCACAUUAUUUUCCUCUUGUGAUUGACCUAUUGAUGGCUACAAUUUUUCCAAAAUCAAAUUAAAUAUGUUGUGCGAUCAUUAUUUAAUCUGCCAAAUAUCAACAAUAAUAGCAAAUUUCAUGAACAAAACAUUUUUCUUACGUUACCUUUCCCAUUUAGUCAUUGUUGAUAGAUGAGAAGACAAGUUUAAUAUCAGAGCCUCAGUUUUACAACUGAUCUCUUUUCAUAAAUGAUAUUAUGGAAAUUGUUAGAGAAAAGAGACGGUUAUUACAUUAAAAAGAAUAGGUUUAGUUUCUCUCCCAAUGAAGGACGAGAAUAGGCUUAGUGACUUACAUUGAGACCACGAGGGCAAUGCAUGAUUUUCACUCAAUAAUAAUAAUGAAAAACGGAUAAAUAUAUAUGUAUGUAUGUAUGUAUUGGAUCGAUAAACUAAAUAUAAGAAACCGACUCGAUUUUCUAUGUCAUUUAAUGUUAAUAAUCCAUAUUUAUGGCACCGAUCCCUAAGGUCUUAGCCCUCGUCUUAUAUGAUUUAUUUAAGGAUGUUACAAAUUGAUGAGUCAGAAUUCGAUUAAAAUCCAUGUAGAAGAAUUUAGUUGGAUAAAUUCAAUGCUUAUCAGAUUAGACAGAAGAACUUGUCAUUAAACUUAGAUAGCACAUAAAACAAUUGUAUGAGUGAUCAUGUGACUAGAAAUUGUCUUUCUAUGUUCUUCUUUUUCGCUUGACGAUUGUUUUAGAGUGGAAAAGCACGUUAAGAAUGGAAUCCCCUCCUUGCCUCUCGUGGUUGGAUGGAGUCAACAAUUGACAGGGCACAACGACCGAUGUCUACAUUAGUUAGUCACCUGGCAAUUUCAUCGUCUGGUAAGGGGUUGCUAGUGUGAGACCUGAGAUUAUAACAAAAGAAUAAUGAUGAUCACUAUUAACAUGAUUUGCCUAUGGCAAGCGUGAGGAAGUAUGUUUUCUUGGGCACAUUGCUAAGAAUAUUUUACAUGAAUUGCCACAUCAUUAAGCUCGUUGACAUUGAUAUUCUUUCUUGUAUACAACUCAUCUUUAAAUACUCAGAUUGUCACAUUUUCCACUCAAUAUGUGUGAAUAUAAAACCCCAAGGAGAAGGAGAUGGCCCCUUUGAUAAAAGAGACGGAAUGGCAGUGCUUGUCUUCUUUAUCCUUUGAUAAAGAGGGACGUAUCCGGAUUGGAUUUGUGUUGUACCACAUAAUCAAUUACAUUGCAAUAAAUCACACUCCAAUAAAAUCAACUUUACUGAUGGGAAAAGAAAACUUAUAAUCUCAAAGGCAUAAUUUAACAUGAAAUUUUAAUAAUAGUGGGUAUCAAUUGAAAACUUACCAGCCAUCUAAAUAUAUGCAUUUCAAAGAUUAUCAUCAUAUUAAUAGGAGCUAAUACCACGAAAAAAAAUCCCAAGCUAAUACAUCUGUAAUAAAUUCACUUCAAACUAAUUUUCGGAUCAUCAAAAUUCUAAAUUGAUAUACUCGUAAUAAAUUUAUCGCAAAUUAAUUUUUAGGUUUCAAAGUCCCUAAAUUAAUAUACUUGUGACAUAUUUAUAUAAAUAAAAGUUGUAAGUGUUUUUUUGUUUACUUUCCCGUCAAAAAUUAUAAGAUUAGGUAAAUUUCAAAAAAUUAUGCAAAAAAUUACCAGUAACAUUUCGCUGUUUCACAAUUGUAUAAAACUCAAUUCUCCUUAAGCAAGGAUAUAAACUUACGAUGAAGUUACAAAAAAGAAUUUCCUUGCGAAUUCUCCUUCUCCGAGACCAAUGGUCAAACUUUUGAUUAAGCAAGGAUAUAAACUUAAUCGGGUGUCCGAAAAUCGAUGAAGUUAAGAGAUACUGCGUGUAGAUGUGGACCAAAGUCGGUUCCCCACGUGGGUCGAUUUUGUCCUCAUUAUGAAUUAAAUAUGUCGAUGGUGGUCCAGAGUAAACCAACGAGGUUUGAGAUUUGAGGAAAAGCACAGCCGACCAAAAGAAUGUAUGUGCGUCCUGUGUUCCAAGAUUCGGUCAGAUGAUGCAACUUCCACUCUUCACUAGAGAUUAUAGAUCUAUAUGAUAUAGAGAGGGAAUAGGCGAGAAAAUAUAAGAAAUUGCAUAUACUAUAUUGACGAAGCUUAUUCUGCAAAUGCAAUCUUAAGUUACAAAUUUUAUAUUAUUCCUAUAAUUUUUCAUUCUAUGAGAGCUAAUAUUGUCUAAAUAAAAAGGAAAAAAAAUUAAGGGAACCACUUCGGGCCGUAGAAAUUCAUAAUUUAGAAAUAUUAAAUAAAUAAAGAUACAAGGGGAUUUCUACGGCGGGAUACCUAUCAGCUGUGGUGGGAGAUACCUUUUUGGGGGGACAAGGACCCCUGGAGUGCCAAAAGUUGGCACAAAGGGACACUUAAGUGCCAAAAGUUACGAAAGGUACACUUAAGUGCCAAAAUCGGAGCAAAAUGGAUCACUUGAGUGCCAAUCCGGUCAAAAUCCGGCCAAAAUGCCGACGUGGCAUUUUUCCAGCGAACCGAACCCAAAACGACGCCGUUUUGCACGCUGACAUGGCCAAAUAAUGCAAAAACGACGUCGUUUUUGGCUCAUGUGAUAAAAAAAAAUAUAAAAAUUAAAUAAAUUAAAUUUAAAAAUAGAUUCAGUUAAAAUAUUAAAAAAUAAUAACUUUAAUAGUUAAAAUAUUAAAAAAAUAAUAAAUUUAAAAUUACAUUUACUUAUAAUUUUUUAAAAAAAAUUAAAAUUAAAUUUAGUUAAAAUAUUAAAAAAUAAUAAUUUUAAAAUAAAAAAAUUUUAAUUUUUUUUAAAAUAAUAAUUUUAAAAUUAGAUUUAGUUAAAAUAUUAAAAAAAUAAUUUUAAAAUGAAAUUUUGUUAAAAUAUUAAAAAAUAAAAAUUUUAAAAUUAGAUUUACUUAAAAAUUAAAAAAAUUUAAAAUUAAAUUUAGUUAAAUAUUAAAAAAAUAAAAAAAUUAUCAAAAGUUUAUAAAUUAAUAAAAGGGGGGGGGGGGGGCGAUGGCUGAGGGGAGCCUCAGCCACCACCCCCUUCUUUUAAUUUUUUUAAUUCUAAAAUUAUUAUUUUUUAAUAUUUUAAUUAAAUUUAAUUUUAAAAGGAUUAUUUUUUAAUAUUUUAAUUAAAUUUAAUUUUAAAAGUAUUAUUUUUUAAUAUUUUAACUAAAUCUAAUUUUAAAAUUUUUAUUAUUUUAAUUUGUUUUAAUUUGUUUUAUUUUUUAAAGUUAUUAUUUUUUAAUAUUUUAAUAAAUUAAUUUUAAAAUUAAUUUUUUAAAUUUUUUAACUAAAUCUAAUUUUAAAAUUAAUUUUUAAAAUUUUUUAACUAAAUCUAAUUUUAAUUUUUUUUGAAAUUUUUAACUAAAUCUAAUUUUAAAUUUUUUAAAUUUUUUUAAAUUUUUUAUUUUUGAAAUUAUUAUUAUUUAAUAUUUUAACUAAAUUUAAUUUUAAAUUUUUUUUUAUUUUUUAACUAAAUUUAAUUUUAAAUUUUUUAAAUUUAUUUUAAUUUUUAGUUUUUUAAAUUAUUAAUUUUUAAGAUGUUAACUAAAUUUUAUUUUAAAAUUAUUUUUUUAAAAUUUUUAACUAAAUCUAAUUUUAAAAUUAUUUUUUUUAAUUUUUAGUUUUUAAAAUUAUUAUUUUUAAUAUGUUAACUAAAUUUUAUUUUAAAAUUAUUUUUAAAAAUAUUUUAACUAAAUGUAAUUUUAAAAUUAUUAUUAUUUAAUAUUUUAACUAAAUUUAAUUUUAAAAUUAUUUUUUAAUAUUUUAACUAAAUGUAAUUUUAAAUUUUUUUUUAAUAUUUUAACUAUUAAAAUUAUUUUUUUUAAUAUUUUAACUAAAUCGAAUUUUAAAUUUAAUUUAUUUAAUUGUUAUAUUAUUNNNNNNNNNNNNNNNNNNNNNNNNNNNNNNNNNNNNNNNNNNNNNNNNNNNNNNNNNNNNNNNNNNNNNNNNNNNNNNNNNNNNNNNNNNNNNNNNNNNNAACGGCGUCGUUUUGGUUCACUUCGCCGGAAAUUCGUCGGAAAAAUGCCACGUCAGCCUUUUGGCCGGACUUUGGCCGGAGUGGCACUUAAGUGAUCCGUUUUUCUUCGAAUGUGACACUCAAAUGUACCUUUCGUAACUUUUGGCACUUAAGUGUCCCUUUGUGCCAACUUUUGGCACUUGAAGCGUUCUUAUCCCCCUUUUUGGGUAACUUUUGUCACGUGAAGCAAGACCAUAAUUGAUGUGUUUAACAAUAAAUAACCUAAUACCGUCUUCCAGUUUUGUGGACGCACGACCCAAAGUAAACAUUAAAUUUAAUCCAUUAGUAGUUAAACCACCUCAAAUUAGAUCUGUUUGGGGCUCCAUUUCUUUGCGAAAUGGAUAGUCCGUGAUUGCUUAACCUUUUAGGAUUUUUGCAUAAAUACUGUAUUCUAACAAGUAAAAGGAAUAAUCUCAACACACACAUACAUUCCCCACUAUUCCUCCUUUUACAUUUUGUUGUAGCCAAAAUUAUAUUAGAGAUGAGCAAUCACAUUCAAGCUCGGCAAAAAAUUCUGGUAUGUAACUCCAUUUCAGAUCUAUGGAAUAAAUGGAACAUACCGGGUUUUAUCAUACUAAGCCUCUCACUUCAAGCUUUUUUCAAGUUUGGCUUCAAAACGUUUAUGUCACGCUCCAAUCCUCCGAGCGUAUGCCCAUUCCGACUUGGUCAAUUAAAUAGCGACGUCCCAAGACGCAUUGCCGACUCAUUCAUCUUAAUACGCAUGCGGAAGCAAUUAAUAUAUCCCCAACAACAACAAGAUGAGAUAAAAAAGUAUGGCCAAUUUUUCACAAAAGAUGCAUUUUUAUAAACACACAGGUUUAUACACAUAAGCCUACAAAAAGGGAUCAGCUUUCAACAAAAGAGAAUUGUCUUAUGACUAACUAGUCGGACAUAUUCGCCGAUUCUUCGGGCUUCACCUCCUAAACUCCAAGCUCCGGGUCCUCCACCGCUGUCAACUAGGGACCUGAAAUGUUAUCCCACAACGGGGUGAGACGAUGUUUCAAUAAGUUCAACCCCCUAAGCCCUGACUAGGAAGAAAAUACGCCCUAAGGGCUGCCCAAGCACAAUCACGAGUCAGAGGACUUACAUGGCCUUAGUCCCUUCUUGUAAGUCAAUAUAAUUCACAAUUUCAUGAGAUCACCUCAUCACAUCAAAUUAUCACAAUAGAUCGAAUCAUCAAUCAAUUGACCUAGUCGAUUCCAUGUUAUUAGGACCAUCACACGAUUAACCCAAUCAGUACUAUCUAUAAGUCCGAUCUCAUCAAGAACUGCUCACCCUAAGCUGUAAAUAGGUAGUAUAGCUUACCUCAAAGGCUAAUAAAUAUGCUCUCUCUCUAAGCUAACAUAUCGAGCCAUCGAGCUGAUAUAAUAUACUAACAAUGCUCACCAAAGCUGUACGAUCCUUACUUGCUCACCGAAGCUAUGCGAAUCUUAAUUGCUCACCAAAGCUGUGUGAUACUUAGGAUACACUGUUCACUUUAAGUUGAGGUAUCAAGCCUGCAGGCUGAUACAGUAUACCAUUUUAAUCAACCAAUGAUUUCUCAACUUUUAUCAUACCUGAUAAAAAAUACUUGUGUGUGAAUAUACGGUCGACUUUAGCUAAAAUACAAUAUUGUCCUUUCCACAAAUCCCACUAUUUAAUAUGGUCCACCAAAAUAUUUUUGGCACUGUAAAUCUAUGCUCGGUUAUUUUCCAAUCAAUUACUAAAUUUAAUAGAUUUUUGGAUAAAUAUCCUAAAAUCACAAAUCACACUCAAUUUGCACAAAUUAGCAGUCAAAUAAAUAAAUCAAUCACAUCAUUUCAAUUAGCAUAAAAUUCCAAUCACCGGCUAUUCUGAUCCAAUUUCUAAAAAUUAAUUAAUUAAUUAAUUACGAAAAAUAAUUAUUAAAUACCAAAAAUGCAUACUUAGGCCUAUAAUGCCUAAUUAAAUGCCGAAAUGAGUUCGGAAAAUUUCCAAACAUAUUUAAAUAAAAACUAGAGCAUAAUUACUUACUAAUUAUACUAAUCUAACCACCUAACAUGCAUCAGAUUGACUAAUUCACUAAUCCAUUCUAACUAACCACCUAAUCCUAGCUUAACCUAAACUAAUCAACCAUUAAGCGUCAUUAACUUACUAAGCAUGAAUUAGUGAGUUAAAUUCACUUGAUUAAUGAUCCGCUCUGAUCAAAACGAUGAGGACACGGUAAGGAGCGACAAACUCCAAAGCAAGAUCACCAAGCGGGGUCGGGAAGGCCACCAAAACGGGCGAAACAAUGCUAGAAAUACCCACACUAUUCAGUUCUAGUCGGGGGGUGAGACAGAAGCGGCCGGUUGAGUAACGACUAAUGUCUUAGACAAAAAAAAAAAGACGACUAAUGUCUCCAUUACUUGGUUACCUAGCUCAAUUUUGAGAUAUUAUAAUGGGGUUGUUAGUGUGAAACCUUAGACCAUAUAACAAAAGAAUACAUCGAUGAAUUUUAGUGGUAAUGUGAAUGAUUAGUAUAUGGCAAGUGUGAGGAAGUAUGCAAAAUUGACCGAGCACAAUGAUUGAUGUCUACAUUAUUUGGUUACCUAACCCAAUUCGAGAUAUUAUAAAGGGGUCGUUCGUGUGAAACCUUAUACCAUAUAACAAAAGAAUACAUUGAUGAAUUUUAGUGGUGGUGUGAAUGAUUAGUCUAUGGCAAGUGUGAGGAAGUUUGCUUUUUGUGCACAUGAUUUGCCAUACCAUGUUAAACUCCUCAAUUGAAAAUGAAAUGGAUAUGGGGUAUUGAUUACUCUAAAUAAAUCUAACGUCUUUUCGGUAUAUUUUCUCUUUAUUUAAAAAUAUUGCAUAGAUAGUAUUGAUCAAUUUUAACUUAAGUCACUAACACACGAGAGGUGAUCAUGUAAAAGCAUAAUCAGAUAAUAUAACACUCAAUAAUCAAAGCAAUAAAUAAAUAAAUUGCUAGAAAUAGAGCAUACCUCAAUGCAAAGAAAAGCAUAACCAUAUUUAAUUUUUGCAAGAUGUUAAUAAAAAGAUAACGUGCAUAGCCUAAACACGACUUCUAAAUGCUUAUGCAAUUAAAUACUUCUUUUUGUAUUUAUUUUUAUUUUUAAAUUAUAAGAUGUAUUUAAUUUUAAAUUAUAACUAUGUGAUCUAAUUCAACAUAACAUGCGAUCUAAAUGUUCCAAUUCCAAUGACAAGUCAAAUUAAUAUGAACUAUUCCAAUAUGACAUGCAAUCUAAUUUAUGUGAGUCGAAAAAAUAACACGAAAAUUGUGAUUUGGCAACAUAAUGAUGUGGCAAAGGUGACAUGGCAUUUAAUGACCCUACAAGUGAUGACAUGGCAAUGAUGAUAUGGAACCGAUGCAACUAAUUCUACAUGAUAUAUGCAUAUUAUUUUUGUGAUUAUCUUUUAAAAUUAAAAUAAGAAACCAUGUAAAUAUGUAAUUACCUAAUUCAAACUAGGAAAUAAUUUAGAUUAGAUUCUAUUCUGAAUUAUGAAAUUUCCGAAAUUACUGCAUGGCUCCUAGACAUGUAAUCCAAAACAAGGAAAAAAUUUAUCCUAACACAUAAUGCAAUUUUUUAUUUUUAUUUUUUUAUAAUAUGAGAAUUUACUAAAUUAAUAACAUGCAAUAUAACAAAUCCACAUAAUCAAAUAUUCACCUCAAUCCAAACUAGGAAAUAAACAUAAUCACAAUAAUGAAAAAUCCUUAGCUCAAAUUCUUGAUUAUUAAGAUUUUCAAUAUCGAAACUUUUCUAAUCGGGGUAAGCCUAAAAAAUCUCAGACCAAGUUGAAGUUAGAAUUACAAUACGGUAAAUAUCACAAAAAAACCCAAACUAUAUUUACUAUGACAUAAAUUCCUUGAUACUCCAAAGACUCAAGCCUACUUCAUGAAAAAGGGAAAAUGGGCUUACUUAGAAAGAGUUGACCUAAACAUGGUCUUGCUCCAAAUGAAAGAGUUUGAAUCACAUGGCAAAGUCAAUGAGGAUAGCAAAAUUGGUGAAAAUAAAAAGCAAAAUGAAAGGUAUUUUUAAUAUCGAUCUACAAAAGCAAAUUUACUAAAUUAUGUGUCAGGUUGUGGGUAGACCUUCAAACAAUAACCAAGGGUAGUAUGACACAUCACUCAGUCUACUAUUUUUGUAGACCACUCUUAGUGAAAAAAAUAUAUUUAAGUUAAAAACACCUAUAAUAACUAAAAAAGUGAACCGUGAAGAACAUUACUAAUGGCACAUCAUAAAUUUAUAUAUGGGUAAUGUUCCUAACUUAUUACUCACUAAAUAAUGGUAUGGUUAGAGGUAUUUAUUAUGAUUACUUAUUAAUGCUUUUUUUUUUGGUGUGUUUCUUUUUUUAGUAGGCGUGCUUUUAAUAUAACAUGAACUUUAGGUUUCAUUUGUUCUACGAAAAAUGAACCUUCUUUAAAGUAUUUUUAAAAAAAAAAACUUAUUUUUAAGGAAAAUGACUACAUUUGGCAAUACGUUGCAAAUAAUAUGAAAAUCAUUUUCUGAUGUUUGUUAAAGAAAAAAUAUUAAACACUACGCACGGAACCGGGCCCGUUCAUGCCUAUUUCGGCAAAGUGAACGAACUUUGAAGGAUUACGCUACAAGAUCAGUUCAAUAAGCAAUAUUCAAAAUAUCAGAAAACUGAGAAUGCCCAUCCAUGUCUAUGCAACAUUCUGUUGUACAAACCUACAGAUUUGUCUAUAUCAUCAACUGCAAGCUACGAAUUGGUAUGCAGGAGAAAAUAUAUGUCCCAGGUGUUAGACAAACCAUUUUCCCUCAAAAGCUUGUGUAGUGAGGAGAUCGGCUAACAAUGCAUUUACAACAUAACACUAGUUACUACCGGAAUACAGAAUGAACGAAGAACGAGCAAAAAUGGUCAAUGCCCGAGUCUUAUUGAGAGUAAAAGGACCGUGCAUGAGGAACCAUUUCACUGACUCCCAAGUUUGUCCUCCUCCAUCCCAAACUCAACGUGCUGCUGUGUGGCUUUGGGACCGAUGUUUCAUCUUGCUUUACAUGAACUAUUUCUUGACUUGAAGAGAAAGAUGAAGAAGAAUCUAUUCUUGGUGCUGAUGGCUGAUAAAAAGUGGGAGCCUCAUAUGCAGCGGGUGAAAGCUCGGGCACAGGGACUUCUAGCUGAAGAAACCUGAUAACUUGUCCCGCUUUUGGCCUUCUCCUGGGAUCUGGAUGCACACACCACAGUCCCACCAUCAUCAAGCAUUCCAUUUCCUUCCUAUCGAAGCUUGAAUCCAGCGUCUGGUCCACUGCUUCGAGCAUAUUUCCAACAAGGUAAAGCUGCCAGACCCACUUGUACAGUGGGACAUGAAAUUCUCCAUCCUGAUAGGUCCUCCUACCGCAAGUGAUUUCUAGAACCACGACCCCAAAGCUGAACAUGUCGGACUCUCUAGUAGCCUUCCGUCCGUUGAAAUAUUCUGGUGCCAGAUAACCAUAUGUCCCCACCACAUCGGUUGUUUGAGUCCUGAAUCGGGGGUUAGAUACUCCAAAGUCACCGAGCUUAGUGUUGAAAUCUGUGUCUAGCAAUAUGUUGGCCGCUUUUAUAUCUCUGUGAAGAACACAUUGCUCUAGAUCUUCAUGAAGAUAAUUAAGGGCUGAUGCCAGCCCGAGAGCUAUCCUGUACCUUACAUCCCAAGGGAGAACUUUUCGAGUUCCAAAGAGAUGAUUAUCAAGGCUACCAUUAGGCAUGUAUUCAUAAACGAGCAAAAAUUCACCUUUCUCUUGACACCAUCCAAUGAAUUGUACAAGAUUUCGAUGUAUCGCACGGCUUAAUAUCUUCACUUCAUUGAUGAAGACCUUCUCGGAAUGUUUGGAUUCCAUGAAGAUUCUCUUGACAGCAACUUGGCGAUCUAAACUGUUCACAAGUCCUUUAUAAACAUGGCAAGACCCUCCUUGGCCGAGUCUUCGAUCCUGUGAGAAGCUACUUGUAGCUUCAACCAACUCUUGAUAUGAGAAUUUGAGCGGCAAUGCUCUUAUCUCUUUCUCCAAGUCGGUCAGAGCACAAUGCUCGCAUUUUUUCCUCAUUUUGAUCAUAAACAGGCAAGACCCCGCUGAAACAAUCAGCAUUAGACUUGCUAAAGGGGCAGUGAUAAAUGUGAACAACCUAUAGAUUUUGUAGUGUGCCCACUUUACAGGUGAAUUGGUCGACGGGGGGCGUACAGCAUCCAAGUCCGAAGUAAACCCCCAUGAAUUGAUGAUGUGCCUCUCCCCAGCGCCGCCAUAAGAAGCUGAAAU